rnacentral:lncRNA from 1 species
UUUUUUUUUUUUUUUUUGCAAAAUGUAGUUAUCAAGAUUCGAACUCAAGACCUUUGUAAUAGAAGACCAAUGUAGUAACCGUUGCACUAUCACAUCUUAUUAGUUUUUUUGAUAACUUAUUUAUAUAAAACAAACACUCAUAUUUCUUUUGUUCCAUUUUUUUUACAAAAUAUUAUUCUUUCAUGACUCUUUCUUUUUAAUCUUCAACACACACACACACACACACACACACUCUCUCUCUAUCAUCUUUUCUUUUGCCACUCAUUUUUUAAUCAAAUCUCUUUAUUUUUAAUUUAUUGAUGUUUUCUUCCAUAUUUUAAUUUUGUUUUUGUCCAUUAAAUUUAAAAAAGUUAAAAAAGAAUUAUUUUUCUUUAACCCAAUUUAUUUAAUACCACAACCACUCACUUUUAUCUCAUUUUUUGUUUCUUAUCAAAUUUGCAUUUCUAUUUUCAAUUCUCUUGAUUUUCUUCGAACUCCAAACUUCCUUUUUUAAAUUAUAAAUUUAAAUUCCAAAAUGUAAAUUAAAAUUUAAAUUCACAAUGUCUAAAUUCUCAUAGAUGUGAAUUUUGUAUAAUUUCAAAUAUUGUGAUAUUUUUGGAUUAUAUUUAAGAUUUUUUUGGUAGAUAUAAUUGAAAUUGAGAUGAAAUUUAUUUGUUUUAACUUAUAAUUUAAAAAAUUUAUUUUUAAAAAUCCAAGUUAUUCAAAAAUAGUAAACUUUUCAUCAUAUAAAGUAUUAAAUUAUCCAUUACAUGUCUUAUUUUGUGCACAUAUAUAUUUAUAUAAAUUAUUUUUAAAAAAUUCAUUGAACCGAGGUUGAACCGGUCCGACCGGUUGAACCUCGACCCUUUCACUUCACCGGUUCGAUUAACGGUCCGGUUUUUAAAACAUUGGCUUGAACUCAACUCGACAGCCUUAUCGAGCUGCUCGAACUGGACUCGAAUUCGGUUUGACCGAGUUCGAGUCAAGCUUUUGACCGAGUUGCUCGCGAGCUACUCGCGAGCAGUUCGGUUCGAUUAAUUCCCUAAUCUAAUCCAAAAUCUUAAAUCAUUAGAUCUCGGACCUUACUUAAAUAUUAACCGCUUUUUCUCUAUUUUUCGGACCAAUGUGAGACAUAAUAUUUUACUCAUGAACUUAACAAAUCUCCCCAUUCAUGAGUAAACCCCGCAUUAAACCCAAAUUUACAAGUUCAUUUUCGAACCCACUUUAAUACUCAACGCAAGUUCAUCUUAUCACCUAAGGUCGUCUCUUCUCCCAAACAUGAACUCAUUCUUGUUCAACAUCCAAAGUGCAUUCUGGAACUUGCCAACCUUUGACUCUUUGGUCUAACACCAAUUGGACCGCUUGCCAAACCCAUGACGCACCUAGUCCAAUACUAGCCAAACUUCUUAGCACUUUGGCACUUCGAUCCACCAUCAAGACGAGAAUUUUCACCAGUCCAAUUCCGAGAAGAAUCCACUUGUCCAUGAGUAGUCCAAUCUCACAACCUGAAACUCUAAUACCAAUUUGAUAGGGAGAAACACCUUGAAAGAGUCUACCAAAGAGCCUAAUACAUAAGUCAGGAAUAUAACUCUGAUCCAAAAGUUUAAACCAUUAGAUUUCAGGCCAUUACUUACGUAUUAACUCUCUCUUUCUCUAUCUUUCGGACCAAUGUGAGAUAUAAUCCUUUACUACAGCACUUGUUAUAUCACAAAUACUUCUGGAUCGCAUCUAUGUAAAAGGCAUUAGUUCCUCUUAUACAAUUUAGACAAAUUAGCCUGUACGAAUUCUUAUAAACUUAAACGCUGCAAACUGGGCAAGAACCGUCUCAUCCCUUUGAUUCUAUACUUGAAAACCCUGCGAUAGAUAUUGAUGACACAAGUUCCCACAGCACAUCCGUUGCUUAGCAACACUAAUUUAUUUUCAUUUUAUCUUGAAUCACAUCAAUCUCUGUAAAUUGCUGCGAACUUGGCCGGCAAUGCAAUAGCUGAGAGUCAAAACUUCAAUAUGUUGUGUAAUUAAGUAAUAUAUUUUCCAGUCAAUUCACGCAAUUGCAACUAUGUUUUACUAGUAACAUAGAAGUUCAUUUCAGUCGUUUCCUAAUCAAUUAUUAAUUCCAGUCUAACCAUUUAAGUGCAAUUAUCUUUUAAUACGUUGUACAUUCAAGAACUAAUUGAAUAUUGUGAUGAUGGAUGAUUACCUGAGUAAAACAUUCGGCCCAAUAUCUAGGGGAUGCUGUUGAUAAAAAAUUAUUUGAGUUAGUGAAUAAGAUCUUUCUCCUAGCUGCUAAGAUAUGCAUCAAGUUCUUGUCCUGUGGAGAUUUGAACAACUAGGAAGCUAGAAUAAAUUAAUAAUACAGUAAACAUGCAUAUACAUAUCUCUGUUGUUUUACAGAGCAUAUAGAUACAGCUGGAGAAACAGAUCACUGCUUGUAUUUAGACAUGAAAUAGAAUCAAGCUUAACAGGGUACUGCAUUUGCAAUUUGACUACGUGACGAAACAACUACUCAACCAGAAUGCACCUAUCUGAAAUGCAAGCCAAUCUUUUAUUAUUGGCUUUUUUUUUUUUUUUUCAAUUUCAGCUGUCAAUUCUAAGAUAGUUUAAGCUGUGAAGCAUAAGAUAUCCUGCUUAAGUCUUUGGAAGACAAUCAAGUGCACUAAAACUACUAAAACACUUCUCUUCUACCUGCUUAAUUUGGUGAAGUUUGUACAAGUUCCUCUGGAAUAUUUGACCAGCGACUGGAAAAGGGUAUUUGAGAAUUGAAGGAGUCCUGGUCAAAGAAGCAAUAAUAUACCUGCAGACUGAAAACUUCCAAGCUUUGGAAUUGUAAGUAUAAAGAACUAGUUUCAAAUUUUGAUCCAAAAGUUAGAGAACUGGACAUUCAAGAGAAUCAUGUGUACUUCAUCUCCAUGAAUAUGUUAAUUAUUUCUUUCUUGAGUUCAGAUUUGUUAUCGUGUAAUAUAAUCUAGCAGUUAUACUAUUGUACAAGCCCUUACAACAUCAGCUUCCUGGUCAGCCAUCUUCAGUUUAAUUAAUAAUGGCACAUUCAACAGAGGAUUUAAUAACAAGUUGGUCAUUUUGUGAAGAAACAUUUUACAAUAAUGAACAUGACCUGUAGUUUGUUUAAGUUCCAUGCUUAUGGAACAAGCAAGGAAUUAAUCCAGUCCAACAAGAUUGCAAAAUCACUGACAAUUGCUUUACAUAUCAUUCAGGCCAAUCAGCAUCCUGCAGACAAAGGUGCAAGCAAACAAUAAACAAGGGCAUUUUUGGUGAAUGCAAAUCCAAGAAAUGCCAUAUCACAUAUACAUUACAUAUGGCUAAAUCUUUGGCAACUGUAGUGAUAAAAAAAACAUGUGGGAUUUACUAGGAAUAUUGGAAUUGUGGCAUCAGAUACAAAGUUAUCACUGGCGUACCUAAUCCAUGAAACUGAAAGAAGAACAUCUACAUCUAACCUAACCUUUUCUUGGUCAAUCAUUGGUUUUGAGAAGGAAUAAUUGGUAGAUGGCAUUUUACCAGCAAAGGUAAUGGAUGAACACAAAAUAGUAGUUAUCAUGGUUGUGUCCACCACCUCUUUAUAUAUAAGAUUUAUGGUCCAUUAUCUAAAGUUUCAGCACAAUAAAUAUGUUUUGGUCAUCAAUGAUAUUCAUGAAUAUCCAGAACCAUAACCUAGAGUGCAAACAGAAACCUUCAAGGGACUAUAUGUUUCAAGAUAACAAAAGGGCAGUUUCUAGAUUGUGAAUAGGGGCUUUAUCCUUAAGGAAGGUGGUUGGGAACAUUUAUUAAGGGUACACAACCAUGCCUAAUGCAUGUCCCAAAAGACUUGAUCUGGAAGAUGUAAUAAAGUCACCCUGCCAUGGACCUGUACCAAUAGAUAGCAGUAGUUUGAAUGGAAAUUCCAGUUAAGGGAAAGGAAUCAAUUUGUGGCAUGGUUUUAGGUGAUGACAGGGAAUGGAUGUUGACCCUUCAACACAAGGGGAUAAUACCAAACAAAUCCAUCUCAAAGUUUGGCUUAAUAAUCAAAACAAGUAGGUUUUCUCAUUGGUGAUUAUUCUAAUGUUUUGGUUGAAAGGCUAUAAGCCAAGAUUUUAACUCAAAUAGUACUUAUCUUCUCUAUAUAUUUUUUUCUCCACCUAGGGCCAUACUUGUCAAAACACACACCUCUCUCCUCGCCUCUAUCCUUGGAUUCAAGUCAGACAAGUCACUUUGCCACAUAGUUAAUAUGCACUUCCAAAUAUAAGUACAAAGAAAGAUAAUAGCAACAUAAUAAAACGAGACACGUUAUGAACCGUAAAUUAAGUAAGUCGUAAUCUGUGUGUUACGUAUCUCAAAUCCCUUCUUACCCUGCAUAAGACAAUGAAAGAUCAAGAAAACACAUUAAUCCAUUUUCUUUUAUUUCACAUUGUUGUGAAAGAAAAGAUUGUCUCAUCUCCAACGGAAUGUUGAAAUUGAAAUUGAUGCACUACUUUGUUUAAUCGUUUUCCUCGUUUUAGUACUUCCAACUCUGAAGAGCCCCUAGAGAAGGACCAAUAACAUAUCUCAGGCGGUUAGGGAAAGGGAAGUGGAGUAGGAGUCACUUGAUUCUAGUGGGUUCACUUCCUGCCAAAGACCCCACCUUGGUUCUUUUACGUACUAUACUACAAAAUAUUUGUUUGUUUAAACUAGUAUUUUCUUCUUUUUUUUGUGUUUUUCUUUUUUCCUUUUCAAACCCCACAAAGUCACAAAGUCAGAGCCAGAGCCAGAGCCAGAGCGAGCAGAGCCACAGGUCUAGGGCCAAAAGACAAAGUAGUUUUUCAAGGAGAAGAUCUGGUGUACCAUCCGGGGUGGGAUGGGAGUCUCAUUUCAUUUUUGAAAAAAAUAAUACUGACCCCUCGUUACUUCUAUCUACACCAGAAGCAGAUAAAAGCAACUCAAACAACAGAAUAAUCUGACAAUUUCCUUCGCAGAGAAGGAGAGAAGAAAGAAAAGCAGAUAGAUAGAGAGAGCUACGAAAGGUCAUCAAGAAAAGGCGUGUCAUCACAACUCACAAGAGGGAGUAUAUUAGAGACCGUUUAAAAAGAGAGGGCAUGUUUUGAGAGAACAAAAGACUGGAGGAGCCCUCCCCUAGCCUUAAUCCUUUUCGCAAUUUUGCUCUUAGAUUCUUAGCCACUCUUGUUUUUCCUUCUCGUUUUCUUGUGCUCUAUGCAUCAAAACUUGUAGAAAAGAGGACUUUUUGGUGGUGCAUCCCAUAGAAAACUGAGGUGAAACAUGUGGAAAACUCCGACUUUCCAUUCCCUGAUCCUUGUUUCCAUCUAAAACCAUUCAUUUCCCAGCCGUCUUGCAGUAAAUUUUGUAUCUCACGCUUGGCUGCUGCAGUUUUCUUCUUUCAGAAACACAAGUAUGGUCUGAUAAAGAAGUUUUGGGUUCUUGCAUGGCGAGUCAAAGAGUUGGUGAGGCUGGUUUUUCCAACUCAGGACCCUCACAUCAUCAUCACCACAAUACUAUGCCUUACGCUGUUUUUCGUGGGCUCAACCCUCCUAGUACAUCCUUCAUGUACUUUUCCAUCACCUCAGAUCAUUAAGUUCUUUCGUCUUUUUUCUUGUCAGUCUAUCUCUUUUUUUUUUUUUUUAAAUAAUCUGUGAGUCUUGCAUUUAUUCUGACAUGGGGUGUUAAUAUUUUUAUGCUACAGUAAUCAAGAAGGAUCUGCUUUUGAUUUUGGAGAGCUAGAGGAGGCUAUUGUGCUGCAGGAGUUAAGAUCAACAAUGAUGAAGCCAAAACACGUAUGCAUUAUUUUUAUUUUCUUUCCCCAUCAUUUUAUCCUUGUUCUGACGUUUGCAAAGUAUAACAAACUCCUAAAGCAGAAAAAGAGAGAGAAAAGGAGCUACAUAUGUGGUCUGCUGAGGCCAGCGGGGAGGCUAAGGCUUACUAUUUUUGAUGCAAUAAUCAUUCUUGGGUAAAGAACUUGAAUGGCGUGGGGAUACAAACUAGGAAACCUGACCUUCUUGCAUGAUUUACUUACUGACUCCAUAACUUCAGAAAGAACAAAGGAGAGAAAGAGGGCAAAAAGGGAGAUUAGGUUCUUCCCCUUUUAUGAGUUUGAAAGUCCUUGCAAGACUUGAUUUUUAGCUGAUCUUCUGAAGAUUUGGCUUGUGAUUCUAUGCAGCUUUAUAUGCAGCAACCGUCAGGCCUGCAGCAACUCUGGAAAUGUUCCCUUCUUGGCCCACUAGACUUAUUCAGACUCCUAGAGUACUUCCCUUCAACUAUCUCCUCUCAUAUUCUUCUACCUUCUGUUUAAUAUGCCUACAUCUUGUCAUAGUAAUGUUCUGGGGUGUCAUUUUUUGGGGUAUUAAUACGCUUUCUUGGCCGUUUCUUUUAACUUUAGGGAAGUUCAAAGUCUGGAGAGGAGAGUACUGACUCAGGUUCAGCAGUAAACACACUAUCGAGUAGAGCUGAGGCCAGACUGGAACCGGAAUCCCCCAUCAGCAAAAAGUCAUCAUUGGAACCUCAAGGACUUGAGCAGAAGCAUCUUCAGCUACCAAACGAACAGCAACAGCUAGAGAUGGCUAAUGAUGGCUCGAGAGUAGAAAUGCCACAGGAUCAUCAACCAGCUGGUGGAAAACCCACAACUGAAAAGGUUAUUUGCACUUUCCCAGUCUUCCAUGUCUAGUCUCCCAGUUCUUCAGUCAUCACAUCCCAAAAUCCAGGAAAAAGUUGGCAUCCUUUCAGGAAAUUUUAUACUCUCCCGUUCUCUCUCCAUUAUCACAAAUCCCAACAAUUGUCAGAAAAUAAUAUCGAAGCCUGCCUGAGAGUUUUUCUGAUUUCUCAGUGAUUCUCUGAUUCAGUUUCUGACAUGAGAGGCAAAAAAAGCGGAUCUUUUUUUCAGUACUAGCAGUAUCACUGUUCUUGUUUUUAUCUUAUUUGUACUAAAGAGGCUUCUCUUCCUUUACUCGAUUUCCAUAACUGUAGUUUAAGUUCUGAUAAUAAUUACCACCUUUUCUUAUCCCAAGAACUCUAGUUUAACUACUUGUCUUUUAUGCUUUAUCUGCUUUUGGUAUUAGGGAAAGAAAAACGAAAUCCGAGAAAAGAAUCACAGCUGCUGAUAGCAUACGUUAGCUAGUUCAUGGGAUCAGUCCUCAUUAUUACCAUCUUGAAGAAACAGUUUUCACAUCAGCAUCAGAAUUAUGAAAAAUGCCUUUCACAUUGUCUUCGCUCUAGACCCUCUACCUAACAAUUAUGAGUUUGAUUUUUUGGAAUAAAAAUGACCAAAUCUUUGAACAGAUUCUGCAUUGCUGACACGUUACCCUUCACUUCUUCUACCCUUUUGAAAAUUAGAAGUGGACGAAAGUUCUACUAACUUGUUAAUGUAGCAGUUAUUGCGUAAACUACUUAUUUUUCAUUUUACUAUUAUAACAUCAGGCAUGCUAUUCAAACUCAACCAAACUACUCUCUUUAUAUAGUUUUAUUUCACUUUUCAAUGUUGCAGAGAAGAGGGCCUGGUUCAACUUCAGAGAAAGUGCUCGAUGCUAAGGUAGUUUACACUCAAAUGGAAUAUGUGUGCAUGCAAGAAAACGUAGGAUAAAAGCCCAUACAAACAGUCUUGUCUUCUUUUUGUUGGAUAUGUCACCACCUUGUCUUUCUUAAUUUCUUUCAUUCGGCCUUUUCUUUUGUUUUUUGAGUCAUUCGGCCAUAUUUUAGUGUCAAUUACAGUUUAAUAAUAAAGAAAUUCCAAAGUGUUCAUCCACGAUUGAUAAUUGUCUUUGUGGUUGCAGACAUUGAGACGUUUAGCACAAAAUAGAGAAGCUGCGAGGAAAAGUAGGCUUAGAAAAAAGGUCAGUGCCAUUUUUCUGGUUUCUUAUUGGGGCAUUACUAAAUUGUAACAAAGUUCCACUGACCUAAUUCUCCAUAUUUAUGUAGUUGGACAUUUUUAAUGUGUUGUAUUGCAGGCCUAUGUACAACAGCUAGAAACAAGCAGGAUAAGGCUUACUCAACUUGAACAAGACCUUCAACGAGCCCGUGCUCAGGUUGGUCAGUUCCUAAGAAGGACGUUCCUUUUUUAACCAAAAGGACAAUACUUUUUUUUUUUAUUGAUAUUCUUGCUGACUAGAGGGAAUGACUAGUUUCUGACUUUCUUUCACCAACAGGGAUUUUUCUUGGGUGGUGGUGGUGCUCCUGGUGGGAACAUCAGCUCAGGUUAGUUUAUCAUUUGCAAAUUGAUUUUACCAUUUUAACCAUCUUGUCUUUAUCCACCAUUGAUUUUCUUUUUCUUUUCCUGUUUUUAUCUUCUAGAUUCUAGUUGUGGUUAGGACAAGUUUAUAGUGAAGAAAUUUUGGCAGUUAUGUUAACAGCACUGUAGAAAUUAGGUACUAUGCUUGUGAGGAAAAGUAAGUCAUACUCUUCCUAUAUGCUAAGCGGAAUAAAGUUAAAUUGUCAAACUUUGUUCUCUACAUUUCAACAUGAAAUCCCAUAUUCUCAACCAUGAAUCUGACACCGGCUGCCUUUUAAUCGAAAUUUCUAUCCAUGAGCCAAUAGUCAAAUCUGUCAAACGUCACAUGUCAAAUCUUAGUAACCUGGCAUAUGAGAAUGACUAUGACCACAAUUUGUUUAAUUCCAUCGUCUUUUUGAUUUAGAUGCUAACAAGGCUUCCAAUAGAUAUUGCAUGUUUCAAGAAGAAUGUCCUUGCAUUUUUAACAGUUUCCCUGGAGCAAAAAACUGUUGCAAAUCUCACUACUAAUUCUGUCAAUGCAACCACUCUCAGGACAAAAAUGAUCAGACAAAUUCAUUUUAUGCUUGAACAAUCAAAUAAAAAGCUCAAGGAAGUAUACUGGUGGGCUUAUACAUAUGUGUAUAUAAGGCUAAUAGGACUUGCAAUACUGCUUAAUUUUAAUGCAGGAGCUGCGAUAUUCGAUAUGGAAUAUGCAAGAUGGCUAGAUGAUGAUCACAGGCACAUGUCAGAGCUUCGAACUGCUUUGCAAGCUCACUUAUCAGAUGGUGAUAUGAGGGUGAUACUUGAUGGAUACAUUGCACAUUAUGACGAGAUUUUCCGCCUCAAGGGAGUAGCAGCCAAAUCUGAUGUAUUCCAUCUCAUCACUGGAAUGUGGACUACACCAGCCGAAAGAUGCUUUCUUUGGAUGGGCGGCUUUCGUCCCUCUGAGCUAAUCAAGGUUUGCUUUUCAUCCUUCCACUUUUACAUAUGCUAAAUCAAUCACACAAAUCCAUUUUACGUUUGUAUACGGCUUUCUUGAUUUGUUGUCAGAUGUUAAUAACGCAACUAGACCCUUUAACGGAGCAGCAAGUUGUGGGGAUAUAUGGUCUCAACAUUCUUCGCAACAAGCGAGGAGGCUCUCUCGCAAGGAUUGGAACAAUUGCAGCAGUCUCUGAUUGAAACCAUAGCCGGUGGCACUGUCAAUGAUGGGAUGCAUCACAUGGCUGUUGCCUUAGGCAAGCUCACCAAUCUUGAAGGUUUUGUCCGUCAGGUAAAACGAAUUUACGGCAUUUUCCCCAGUAUUUAUUCUAUAUGUGAUUGGCAUUUAGGAACUAGGAUUUGUCACAUGCAUGAACGGGGAAAAACAUUAAUUCUGAACGAGCAAAAUUGGCAGAAAUCUUAAUCAACUCUCGUGUCCUGAUGCAACAUCCUUCUCGUUUAAAGUUAUGACAAGUGCGAUAUCACAUCAGUCUUCCGUUUGGAUGGCCAUACUUUGGUGUAAAUUAUCUGUGGAUCCAUUCAAGAAAAUUUCAAUAAUAAGCAAUGGUUCUUGUGCAUCCAUAUGACCCGAAAGAUAAGAGGAGAUAAAAAGAGAGUUUGUAAAGGUUGUAGAGGAGGCAUGGGAGUGGGCCUUGUUUAUCUUGGCUUCUUUAACUCUGUCUCUUUUCUUUUCGGGUUUUCUUUUCACUCUUUGGAGUACCCAUUGCGUCCCUUCUUUCCAACAGUAUCAAAUUCUUUACUCAUUUUUCCCUUUUUUCUAGGGGAAAGAUCCCUCUAGAGCUGGUUCUGCUUGAGAAAAUAAAAAAGUUAUCCAAAGCAAUAUGGAGUCAAUCCUUCUAAAUUUAACAAAAGGAAAAACUACUUUCAACUUUCCCCUUGGCCUUGGUCAGAGUGAAUAUUAUUACUUCCUGGUGAAGUAAUUGACUAUAUGCAUGUCUUUAAAACAUGGCAUUAGCAGAAAAAGACUGGUUUAAAAGUUGGGGGAAAAAAAAAGCAAGAAAAAUUUGACUUGACACAUAUUUCCAUCAAAACCCAGUAUAUUAAAGCAAUUAAACCUUUUUUUGUAGCACUAUAAUUGCAAUGUAGACACCUGCUUAGAAGAAAAUAAGUUUUUAUUAAUUACUUUCAAGGGCAGCCCUACCAAAACGUAGAGAUUCUGGGUUCUAAUCCCCCUGUUUUUCUCCCAAUUUCUUAAAUUCUAUCCCUCCCUUGCUAGAAUAUUUUUUUGUUCCUUUUUAUAAAAGGGGCAGUCUAGUUUAGGGAUUGACAUAGAAACUUCUUUUCAAACUUCCAUAUAUAUAUAUAUAUAUAUAUAUAUAUAUAUAGGUCAUGGUUUCGUCAUCCCUUGCUAAUCCUGAUACUGGAAUAAUUUGUGGUUAACAACCCCCGCCUUGUCGAUUAAGGCGUGAUUUUACUAAUUUAAAUGUUGUCCCUUUCUUUAAUUUUGAAUGCUCCUGUGCAAAAAGGACAUUAUUUGAUGCAAUGUUUCCAUCAAAAUGUGUUGCUAUCAGAUGGUGGAUGAAAGGGACAACUGUUGAAAUAAAAACCCUUACUAGACCACUCGACCAAAUUUUCUACAGAUGGAUUUGGAAUAUUGUGAACUAGCUAGUUGACAACUCAAAACUUAACCUUCAUUUUCUUAAUCUAUCUAUCACCAAAAUAGUCCAAAUCCUAUGAAUGAAACAACCACGUACAUGAUUUCAGCUCUUUUGCUACAACUUUUGGAGUUCUUCUUGCCUGUGCAUUAUAUAUGACAACAUGGUGGUGUGUCGUCGUAGGGUUUUGCGUUACAUUUUUAUUUGAUUGCAUUUAUGUUUGCCUAUGUUCUUCAUACUCCAUGAUUGAAAUUGAAAUCUUAAUUUGAAUUGUAGGCCGAUAAUUUAAGACAGCAAACUCUUCAUCAUCUGUUGCGAAUAUUGACAGUUCGACAAGUGGCACGAUGUUUUUUGGUCAUUGGAGAGUACUAUGGUCGACUCCGAGCACUUAGCUCCCUUUGGGCAUCACGGCCAAGAGAGUAAGAUAAAACGGAUGAAUUUUUUUUCUGAUUUUAUUUCUUCCAGACAUAGAUCAACAACUAAUUAGAAUCAGGAGCUUGUUAAAGAAAUCUUUUUAUGUUUUGUUUGAUUUCCUUGUUAGAGAGAACAUGCAAAUGGCAAAAGUUUUACUUAAGAUUUGCAAACCCUUUGAGGGAAAUGCUCAAGUAGUAGAAGAUUAUCAAGGAAUACAACUAAUUGCAAGCUAAUUCUUCUUCUUCUUCUUCUUCUUUUUUUAGUGUAAGUAGGAUUUCGAACUCAGAAUUUUUAACUUACACUCCCUUCCCCCAAUCACAAGCCAAUUCUUGUUUAUAAACUUUAUAAAAAUGUUGAGUGGCCAUUUUUUUAAGAGGUUCAUAAGGUGACUAUUUUUUUUUUUGAGUCAUAAUGAAGAAGAAAAAGAUAUUCUCCUUAAAUUAAAAAAUGUAUUAAAAAGAAAAAGUUAGUACGUAGUGUCAUCUAAAACUUGACAGACAAUGGAAAUCAUUAAAGCAUCUUGAAAUAAUGUUGCUGUGUGGAGCACUUUUAAUUUUAUUUAUUGCUGUUGUUUAGUUAUAUAUGUACAAUUUUUAAUGCAUGUCAUAAAUCAAUCAUUGAUCUCAAUAAUUGCCAGGACUAUGAUUGGUGAUGAGAACUCUUGCCAAACAACCACCGAUUUGCAGAUGGUACAAUCUUCUCAGAAUCAAUUCGCCAACUUCUGAUAUAUCCUAGCUCAGAGUAGCCUGAUAGAGUAUUGAUGUUCAAAUCCCAUAGCCUCCUCCCAUGCCUCUUAGCUUUAGGGCUUCCCAAUCUAUAUACUUUAGAGGAAGUAGCAUUUCUUGAAAAUUCUAUCUUGUUAAAAUCCUUGACUUGUAUUAUUAUCUUGUAAAUGUAAAUCAGAUCUAUCUGCAUCAGGAAGCUCCUUAUGAAUUAAUUUAUAAAAAAAAAAAAACAAUUUUAAAAUGUCUAUAUUUCUAGACGAUUAUGUAACAUCAUAUUCAAUCAAGUUCUUUUCUAGUCCUAAGCUAGAAAUGAGGACUAAGGUGAAGGCCUCGAGAGUGCAAUGCUAGCUGAUACUUAGCUAUAAAUGAGUCUACUUUCUUUGCAUGAAAGAAAAAAGUGUUGGAGAUUUUUUGCAUUGUAACAUAUAUACUAAGUAUAUAGGGAAAGGAUGAUAUCUUUCUUGUUUCUUUUUUUAAAAAAAAUUUUUUUUUGCCCCAUUUCCCUUAUUUUUAAUUUUUGUUUUCUUGGUUGUGGGGAUGGGGUGGGGUUGGACCUCUUUGUGACACAACAAUUUAGAAAAUCAACUAGGAAAAAACUAGGAUGAGAGGGUGGUUGCAGCUUUUCAUUUAAUUGAGGUGGUUGUGAUAAAGAUUAUCUUAAAGUACAAAGGACAAGAAAAAGGAGAGAAAGGAAGUUAGAUGCAUAUUGUCUUCUUUCGAGUAGGAAAUUUGCAGAAGUAGGAAGAGGGGCCGGGAUGAACAUUGCUUGCUACUCUGUGCUUGCAUGGCUUUCAUGGAGGUGGAUAUUUUAUUGCAAAUACCAGAGAGAUAAGAGAGAAACUCGUCCCCUUCGUGGUUUUAAUCAUAAAAUUUGACGAUAAACACAAAAAAUAAUGCACAAAGGGACAGAAGAAGUUCGGUUGCACAUUUAUUGAAUUGAGGAAAUCAAGGACACAACGAAAUAGCUGAGGUUUGACAAAAUUGUUUUCUAAUUUUUAAAUUUAAUAAAUUGCUUAGUUUCAUGUUUCUUGAAGCAAACUAAAUGCUUGAGAAUGAAUGAGUUGCUUUCCCACUACUUGUUUGUUACAAGAGAUAUUGUACCUGAAAUCUGAAUUAAUAUCAACAUACUUUCAAACUAGACGUUGGUUUUUGUUUCUUUUUCAGUCUGUUAAUUUUAUUUUUAUUUUUUGUAAAAAAAACUGUUUUCAAUAAGAUUCUUUAUAAGCAAAGUAACAAUAUUUUGAUUACCCAUAAUAGAUGACAGCUUUUUUUACAAGUUUGGAAGAGCUAUAAGCAAUCGAGAACCGAUCUCCAUAUUUCUGCAAGAAAAUCUUCUAAAAUCACAUUUGGAAGCUAAGUCAUGAAAAUUCUUGAUUUAGUUGGCAGCUCGACAGAAAAGGCUAAAAAAUGUCAUCAUUAUUAUUUAGUCUCCAAUUGCAAAUUUUGAUCGUGUAAUUUAGAAGAAUCUUUAUCGAUCGCUUAAACAAGGUGGACAAAAGGCUAUAAAGAGAUUUAUCUGAAUAUUCAGAUACAACAAAUUACCUUUUUCUGUUUCUGUUCUUAGUCAAACAAAAUCCGGACAUAAAAGAGAGAAUACCUCACAUUUGGGCUGUGUUCACUAGGAUAUUAAUUUCCAUAGCUCAGUUGAUAUGUUUGAGGAUCUAGGGACGUUACUUGCUAGAUUUAUGCUUCUAGCUACAUUGUCUAAUGUCGUAUUACCAUUCGAUCUGUUUCUGUUUUCUAGAGCUUCACUGAAAACAAGUGAUUUUCGAAGAGGGGGAAAAGAGAAGUGGUUUUAAAAACUCAUAACUUGAUGGGCUAUAUAGUGUUGUCUUCCAUGAAAGUGUACGUCAAUAUUGUUACAAUCUCGCUGCAGAGAGAACUUUAAAAACUCUCAGCUGAUCACUAGAUCAACCCUAGUAGUUAUUGACUAAAUGCUUUGAAAAUAAUAUAUAUCAAGGAGAUGUAUGCUAGCUAGCUAGCUCAGAGAAAGCUAGCUAGAACACAUUGGUCCGAAAGAUUGGCAUAAGAGAAUUUCUCAGUUUCUUGACGUACGUGAUCACCUUUAUAUGAUUCAAGUUCUGUUUUGACAUUUUGGCUGUAUUACCAAAAAUUGAAUUUGAAUUCAUGGAACAAAGGAUAUUCUUUUCACAUAUAUUUUGAAUUACUGGAUACCAUUAUAAUUUGCUAAGAAAGACAACGUAAAUUAGGUUUAAAUCGUCUAUCCUGAAAUUACCUUCUAUCCCGUCUGUCCCGUGUUUAUACAGUUGUCACGUGUAUUGAUGCAUUGAUAACUCAAGCAAACCUUUGACUCGUUGAGUUAUCAAGCAUUAAUACAUAUGGCAACUGUAUAAACACGGAAUAGAGGAUUCUAAGUGCGUAAAUUAUGGGGUUAGUUAACUGCAUCCAAAUUCGCAACUUAAUUUGAUUCUCUAUAUCGGAGAAGGCCUUGGGUUUCUACCAAACUAUUGGUCGAAUAUAUUUUGUUUGUAUUUCUUCAAACAAUGGCUAAAACAAAAACACUUUCUGUUCGUAUUUGCCAAUUUAAUGCUAUAGAUCUAUUAAAAGACGAAGAGUUGAACUUUUGCAUUGUCAGCUUUUUCUCAGCCAUACUAGAUUACGUGCACAGUAAGGAAGAAUUCUUCUUCCCCACACCAAGAACUACCAAUUGUAUGCAACCGGACCAGUAGUAUGUUGAAUGAGUUUUUGAAUUUGUCAAGUCUAUGCUUUUGAGAUUUGGGGCAGGAAUGGCUUCAAUAGCAAGCGGUUCCUAAAACAUUUCACAGCCUCCAUCGAUCAAGAAAGGAUUGUAUGGUUUAAUUUACAAGUUGUACAUCCAUUUUAAUUAACAAUGUGCGUGGAGUCCAUAAAAGAUGAACUAAAUUUACAUUGUAUUCAAAUUGAUUUACACAUUGAAUAAAUGCAUUUACAUAUUGUUCAAAUGCAUGAAACUGCUCCGAACGGUUUCACCAGUAACAAAAGUUUCAACCCCGGAUCCAUCAUUUUGAUCAAAUCUGCUUUAGAGUUUUACAACAUGUGAAAACAUGGACAUUGAAAACUUUUUAAGAAAGAAUUAUGUGCAAAGAGUGAUUAAGAAUGGCUCAUCAAGAGGCUUAAUUUGACUUAUUUGUCAAGUCGGUGUAAGUGGCUUAUAAAGGACAUCAACCAUAACUAGGAGGAGCAAUUUCAAACGAUUUUGCUGAUAAAAAGUAAUUAAACGACAAACGACAUUAACUAACAUGUUGGUCUUUUGGCCGAUAAAUCUCUUUGUCAAAAGUUGGAUUCGUCAAAGAAAGAGAUUAACGUAUAAAUUAAUGUGUGAUUAAUGGACUCUAUUCGGCCUCUACUUUUUGGGUUAGCAUGACAAGCAAUUUUUUCAACAUAAAAUAAAGAGAAAGGUCGGUAAUAUCCCGUCAUUAUCAGCGUGCUUUUGUAAACCCUAGAAAAUUAUUGGGUAUAAAUCAAAUACGUCAUUUGCAAAUUAGGUUUGAUUAACCAAAUAUAAUCAUUCUUUCAUCAUUGCCUUUUGGGGUUAAUAAAAGUUGGAAAAGCAAUUUAAGUGUCUUGUGGUCCACAAAAACAAGUUUACUUACUACCGAGCCAAGAAAGGAAAGCAAAUUGGAACUUAACUUAGCAAGUAACCACUGGAUUUCCCUGUUGCCAAGUCAUAAUAUCUAUGUUGUUGUGACAUUGGAACAUUCUUGAUCACUUUGCCAAAAGAAACAAAAAGGGAUAGUCUUCUUUUUUUUUUUCAUUGACAUAAAUGUGAAAAUAGAAACUCAAAAAUACUUAACUUUUUAAUGUAACAUUCUCUUAAUUUUUCAUAUCUGUAGUAUCUAGUUUUGUUCUUCAGAUCUAUUUGCUUCUGUAUAUGGUUGAUAUAAUUUCUGUCAUUACUGCAGAUUUAAUGAAUGAUGAUUUUUUUUAUAAAAAAAAAUGUGAAAAUAUUUUUUGGUUUAAAACGUACAAAAUUUGCAGCUUGAAAUCCAAAGCACAGCUCAUCCCACAAAUUUUAGGUUGACCCUCUUCGUUUUCAACUUAACCAAAGAAUUAUACAAAACUUCCCCACCAAAAAGAGGAAAAGAAAGAAAGAAAUUGCAUGUAUAGCUAAACUCAUCAAUUUGAAUUGUAGAUGAAAUGAUCUUUAUAGUACAUCUUGUUUGACAUGGACUACUGUGAUUGCAAAAAGCUCACCUGACCUUUCAUAAAGAAAUGAUAAGAUCUAAAGCAAAAGGGCACCAAAUCCAAUAUCAGACACAUAUCCAAAACGGUUUAACUAUUAUUCAGGAAUGAUCAAUAAGAUUCCUUUGAUUGCUUAAUAUAAUGCCGACAAAUUGUUGAAUAACCAAUCAUAUAGCAACAUCGAGGUAGAUAAGCAUGUACUAUACAAUCUUUCAAUUUACCUUUUUUUUUUGGUUAUUUAUUGAAUUAAUCUUUUUAUACACCGACACGACAGUGUGUACACUUUCAUCAUUGAAUACAUGACACAUAAUUUAAAUUUAAAAUAUAAAUUUUGCAUAUGUGUCACAUAUUCAACUGUGACAGAAUAUAUAAGAUUUACUCUUAUUUGUUAUGGACAUCCUCUUUCUUAAAAAAAGAUCAUUGAAUGAUACUAGUUUUGGAGCCAACUGGUCAUUAAUUCCCUCUGGAGCUUGCUUCCAAGGAAAAUUUGUCAAAAUGGUUUCCUGAAAGACAGACAAAACGUUAAGGGGGUUGUCAUUCAUUUCUUAUAUAUGUUCCUUUUAAGCCUUUGUUUUGGGGUUUGAUUAGCCUUUGGCAAUUUAGAAAGGAUGCUACAAUUUGGAUUUGCAAGCUAAUCAUCUUAGGCUGAGUAUCCAAAGAGAUGGCAAUCCACAAGCAUUUUUAUGAGCAUGAGAAGAAGACUUUGAACUCCAUCAUAUGUCACAACGAGGAUUUAGUUAGUUAAACACAUAGAUUGUAACUAAAUUCCUAAUGAAUUAUAUGUGAAACUACAGUGAAAAAUGAUAGUCAAGGUCUUCACUUUCUUGAUUUCUUUUUUUUUUUUUGUUUUGGAGAAUGACUUAAAUAUUGCAUCAAGUUGAAUUUGGUAUGUAGAUAGUGACAAUGCUAUCUAUGUGUCACAAAGUAAUCAAGCACAAGAUUGACAAUUAUUUUUAGUUACUUAAUUUGUUUGCUUUGCAUACAUUUAACCUCUUUCAAUUAACUGUCUAUAAAACUAGUACUAGUUCCUAUCACAUACGCAACAGCAGAUAAAUUCGAAAGGAACUUCCAUUUUCCUUUGUUAUAAAUGACAAUAGUCCAUGCUAAACUAAUUGGCAAAAACAAUAAGAAAUUGCCAGAUGGUAGUGUUUGAGCAGUUAAAAUUUUCUCUUCCUUUCCUUUCUGAGAAUGACUGAACAGUUGACCAAAUGCUCUUAUUCUAAUGAAUUUUCUAAUGGGUGACCAUACGUUAACAUACCUACAUUCCAUCCUAUCUUAUCAUGUAUAUACACACCCUAAAAAUUAUUAUUUUCUCUUGCAUUUGUACACUUUUCCUAAUUAAUCCCUUGUAUUAUAUGUUUUCCCUAAUUAAUCUUAUAUUUCUAAAAAUCUAACACCUGAAAUACGUCUUAAACACAUCGUUCUUUAAUAUAUAAUCUCUAACUAAUUUCUUCUCCCAUUUGAAGCUUUGAAGCUCUAAGCGGGCUGAAUAUUUUUUUUUUUGGGAAGUUGUUUAAUACAUAUAUUCUACUAUUUCAAACAAAGAAGAAUGGACUAUAAGAUAGACAAUUGGACGUUAAUCCUUGGCAUUUUUUUUUUUUUUAAGAAAAGUGCUUUAUCACUUGAUACUAAUCAAUUUUACUUUGAUUAAACAUAGACUACAAAACCUAAUCCAAUCAGAUAGCCUUCUCAAUAUUCAUGUACUUAGAGAUUGCAACAACCACUAAAUAAACAAACCAUCAUGAUUCAAAACCAACUAUUUAAGAUUAACAUUGUGUAAAUAUAAUAUUAUGAAGCUCGAUUAAAAAUAAAAUAAUGAUGAACAGCAUCUUUAGGAAAGAAUCUUUUCAUAUAAUAGCCCAGUUGGUUAAGAAUUUGAUUGGAUGUACCAACCAACAAAUAUAUAGAAUCAAAUAGACAACAUGCACAAUUAAUCAAGUUAAAGCAUUUAGAAAAGUAGAAAAAUUCUACUUACAACAUCUUCAUUUAAUAUAUAUAUAUAUAUAGAAAACCAUUGAAUUGCUCAAUAGCCAGGAAGGGCUCUUCAAGUUCUCUCACUAUCAAGGUUCGGAAUUCGAAUCUUAAACUAACAAUUGAGAAUAAAAAGGGCUUGAGGAGAGAUAGAACAUUAAGAAUAUAACUUGUUAAGAUCCUCAAACAGAAAUAAAAUGAAGCAAUUUUCACAUAAUGCAAACUAAAGAGCAGUUUCUUGUGUAUCAAUCCGUUAAGACCAUGUUAGGCCCAAUAGUUUCUAAACCGUGGGUGACAGAUUUGGUCACGAAAUUCUAAUGGUAUUUGUGGUUUAAAGCGAAUUUAAUUUAAAAGUUAAUACUCGAAACAAAAAGAAAAUUCAUCUUUGCUAGAUAAUGUAGAAACAGUCUUCUUCUAUUAAAAACUUAUGAAGUGCUCCAAUCUUUCAAUUGUAUAUCAAAAUAUAGAUAACCAGGAGCACAUACAAAUGUCCCUUUUGAAUGACCAUAAUUAAGAUUAGCAAUCCAAAUUGAACCGUCAAUCAAAAAUUUAAAAAUUUUAUGACACAAAUUAUUGAGUUACGCUUUUUUUUUUUUUAUUUUAUGGUGAGACACCAAAAAUAUUAUGUAAAAUUUACUUGCAGUACUAAAAUUUAUACAUGCAUAAUUUGAGUUAGUACAAUCGUUAGUUAUGUGUAUAUGUUGAUUCUAAAUGAUUUACUUGCAACCAUUCUAAUCCAAAUUCUCAAAUGUAGCAGAUGUAAUAGAAUCAGAAUUAUUUACAUGGGCAUUUGAGAGAAGUCACAUUAAUGGAAUAUCAAGUCAUAUAUGGACCAAUUUGCAACUUCAAAUGGAAUCACAGACUCAAGGAACCAAACAUUGGUUUCUUCCUACAUAAAGUUUUACAACCAAAUAACUAAGCUUAAGAGAAAAUUAAAGUGAUGCCUUAUUUGUUUGACAACAAAACCAUUGGUGAUUCAUAGUAGGGGACUUGAAUCUGAGAUCAUUUCAGUCUGGGAAGCCACAGAUAAUUUUUUGCGACUUUAUUACAACCUCAAGGGCCACCACAUACCUCAAAGGCCUUUUUUCAAGUAAAAACUGAAGAAGAUUCAAGGAACCUAAAGGACAGCGAUUCUGUUUGCUGAUAAGGAGGGAUUAUAUGCAGGUGAGAAGCCUAAAUGGCACAUGGUAUUUUGGAAACUUUGGAAAGACAAGCAAGUAACGGACCAGAUUUUUACAAUCUUGAAUUUCAAUGAGUUCAAGCAUCUGAUAAAGUGUCAAAUUAUUUCGAGUUCAAACAGUCAGAAUAACAUUCCAAUACCGCAAACAAGACUUAACCAGGAAUUUAAAAAUUCUAACCCCAAGAAGUAAGAAGACCCUAAAAUCUGUAUCAAUCAGGAAUUGCUCUGCAGAAGAAAAGACAAGGAAUAAUCUUCAUGCUGAGGAAAGUAGAACUCAGCCACUUCACAAGCAGAACAUUACAGAAACAUCUCCACUUCUGAAUUGGCACGUCAAGUCCUAUACAGUCACCAUCUAACAAGCCUUCUUCAUCAAAUUUCAACAAAGAACCAAGAUCUUCAGUCUCACCAAGGAUUUUUACAGGGUCUAAUGGAGUUGAAGUCUCCUGUAACCCAGAAGAACCUCUCUGCAUGUUAUUAUUCUGAGAGUCAAGCCUCUGAAUUGCACCCAACGCAGGACCAAUCUCUGAAAAUCAGUACUCAAUUAUUUGGAAUAGCCCAAUAAAGAAAACUGCUGUUUAGCGCCAGAAGAAAAAUAAAUUAUAUUUUGGCGUCAAACUGGACUGUUGACUACACAAUAAAGCAAAAAGCAAACUUUGUCAUUCAUUUUACCAAAUAUCUUGCUCUGUUACGAGCUUCUUUACAUUUGUAUCAAGUAUCAUAAAGCCAUCAAACUCAAUAGGCCUUGUAUCUUUCUCAAUUGGAGGUUUAUACAAGAUACCGCUCAGCAAAGCACACUGACUGAAUACAUUCUUGCCUGAAUAUAUCCUCAUCUAAAGACAAUGUUAAGAUUUUGGUAUUUCUUUCAUGACGAAGAGACUUUUACAAAGUAGUACCUGAACAUUUGCGCUUUGCUUUGCCAUGAGCUCGUUUACAUUUGUUAUCAAGUAUCACAGAGCCAUCACAUUCAAUAGGCCUUGGAUCUUUCUCAGUUGAAGGUUUAUAUAAGAUACUGCUCAGUAGAUCAUGCUGACCAAAGAUACUCUUGCCUGAGUCUUCAAAUUGCUUGCACCUAGCAAGAGUGCGUUUGACAAAGGGCAAAGCAGCUCGUUCAGAGACUUUACGAAUCCUUGAAGACUUGCUUCGCCAACCACCCUGGAACUGAAAAAGAUACUUGAUUUGAAUAAUAAGGCUCAAAGUGACUCCAUGACAUAGAGGGGAUUCGAUCAACAAUGACCUUGGAGUUCCUUGAUUUGGGUAAAGAAAAUAAAAAUAUUCAAGAAUGCAACAAAAGUAAAAAAGAAUUGUUUGCAAAGAAAUUAUGAUUUAAAUAAUGAUUUCAACAAUCAAGCAACAUGACUAGAACAGACUAUUUGAGUUACUUAUCAGUAGCCCAAGAACACUUCAUUUUUACUUUCCAGUUAUGUAAUUUAAAUCAAAUGCAUCCACGGAGGCCAGUGAGAUGAAUAAUGUAUUAUGUUUUGAGUUUUGAGAUAUGUAAAAGUAUGGACACUUUGACAUGAGAUUUCCCAUGUCAGUUUGGGCACCCCCACCCCCCCUCCCUGGGCCAUGGGUUUUACCAAAGAAUAUAACCUGGAUUAUACAGAACGAAUACAAUUAAGCAGAAUGACAUCUGCCUCAACAAAUGGGACAUUUGGAUCCGUUGCUGCUGUAAUAGUUUUCUUCUUUUACAUUUUCAUUCUUGAUGGCACUAGGUGCCCGUAUUUGGGUGCGGACUAGGGGAACCAGGAAGGUACAGCACAUCAUGAGGCAAAUAAGUAUGGUGCAAAAUCAGGGAAAAAAACAACCAGAAGGGACUAGUAGGCACUCAUAAUCUACUGAUGACCCAGAUUCAGAUGACAAACUUGAGAAUGCAAGUCUUAGCAAAGUGUUUCCUCACUCUAGAACCAUACAUGCCCUUUCCUCACUGUAGAAUUUUACAUGCCCUAUACAUGCACAAUAAGCACAGCACAUGGGGCCAUCAGUGACAUAAAGCCUUAAAACAGCAACCCUCCUUCCCAAUGCAAAGCUAAUGGCAAGGGAAUUUCUUGGCAAAAGUACCUUCAGUUAAAAAUAGUUAUCAACCAAGAGCUAAAGCUUCUUUACUCUAAACGCUUUUCUGUCCUAAAACUAGAGCUCAUACUAGCAUAAUCAAAAUGAAAUAAUCAAAGAAAAUAUCACAAUUUCCCACAAUCCAGAUAUUAGUAGGCAAUUUGCACUUAUAAAAAGCUAGUAGCACCUAUGGUUCACGUAACCAGGAAGUGACGAAGACACAAAGUUUCAUCUAUAGACCUGAACUAGAUAAUCAAAUACUGAUCGUUUAAAAUUCUAAAUUAAAACAUGGGAAUCAGCUUAUCUCAAUUACCAUCCUCUUGUAGGCCAUUUCAACCAGCUGAUCCAUAGCAGAUUCUUCAAGAUUCCUAAAGAAAAACCUCAUUAUUCUCAUAUACAAAUGAAUGAGCUACCUGAUAUCAGUUCAGACUUAAACAGUGUGUGACCAUACCUUUUCUCCAAGUCUUGCUCACAUUUAAUAGCUUUUCCAAUUUUCCUCAAGUUAUUCUUCACCAUUGAAACCUAUCAAGAUUGAAUUAUCUGUUGUAAGGGAUGAAAGAAUUUGACACCUAUCAAGUUAUUGUGAAAGAUGACAAAUUUGACACUAAGGGACAAAAUGCAUGUUACCAUGCUUUUUCCUAAACAGAGUCGCAUAAAAUUAUCUACUGAGAAGCUUUAAAAAAAAAAAAAAAAAAAAAGAAAAAGAGAGAGAUCAAAACAGUAUAACUAGGUGCUAGUGAAUAUGGCAAACUUUAAGAUAUAAAACCACUGAAAAACUUAGGAAAUCACUCUAACCUUUUGCCACAGCUCCCCUCUAAGUUGCUUAAUUUCUCGAUCAAUCCAUCCUUCUCUACCGUCUAGAAGAGGCUGUUAGAAAAGGACGAAUUAGAAAAAUGGUCGGACCAAAAUGAAAAGAGCUUUGAUCAGUCAAAUCCUUACCGCAUUUAAACCAAUGCUCCGCGGUUCCAGAGAUAGUUUGUCAUUGGGAGACAGCAUCUGAUAUGGACAAUUAAAAGGAAAACCUGGAGGUGCAUUUACUUGUGAAGCAUGUGUUAAAAUUGGAUCAUUUUGAUUAUUCCCAUGCAAAAUUCCUGCGUUUGAAUAGGACAAGCCUUCAUCUGCUUGCAGUCGCCCUUGAUUGCUGAAAGUAUUGGAUACACUUCCUGUGCUAUACGUACUUGAUGAAGCACUUUUAUUAGAACAUAAUCUGUACACAGAAGAAUACUUCUGAGCUUGCAUAUCUAACUCUGGCUGAAGUUCAAAUUCCACUCUCUCACAGCAAUGGGGAUCAGAACCUGUGUAGGUACAGGAAGACAAAUGAAGGUCAUCAGUUAUGCACUGAAAAGAAAUGAUCCUUACUUCAUUUGAACUAGAUUUGUCUGCACCUCCAUCUUCAUUAACGAACGCUGAGAGGACUCUUUGAAGCAAUGGAGGAACAAUAUUUGAUGGCUUAUUUGAUCUACCAAAAGCAGUUGAUGUUAUUGAUUGUUGAUCUGAAUUACUGACUUCCCUUCGAGGAGAACUACUAAUGCCACCCUGAGAAAAUAAACUCAACAAUCAAAUUACUUGAGUCAAAAGCUUAGUUGUAUUCGUCCCUGUAUUUUGCUGGUUCUAUCUUUGCCAAACAAAUUAAGAAAAUUGCAAACUUAUGAAAGAAAAUAAAAAGGAGUAUUAAAAAGGGCAACUAAUUACCGGUCUAUCGUAUUCAUCACCAAAUAUCUGAGACUGAGUCAGGUUCUCAACAAAAUUCAGCUGUUAAAAGAAGAGAACGUGUAAGAAAUAGAUGCUGUAUCAAGAAUUUCAAACUUCAAAAUACAAAAUGUAUAUAUCAGGCAUGAGAAUUUAUUUAGGUACUACUUCUUGUUUGAGGAAAAAUAUGUCCUGAGAAGUGACAGGAGCAAAAAAGCUCUCCAUUGUCUUCCAAAAUGGAAAAGAGCAGGCAUUUUCUGCAGGUACAUCAUAUAUAUCACUCGGAUCACAUUCAUGUUGAGAAAGUAUAAAGAAUAAAUGUCUAAGAAAACAGAUAAGAUUCAGAUAUGUACCGCGUACACUAUGAACUGAACCAGCAGCCACUAACAAUUCUUUGUGAUCAUCAUCAGUUUCACCUAGAUAAGUACAUUCAGAAUAGUUUUAAUACAGUUUUCAAAACAAGUCAACUAUUUUCUCUGAAUGCUGUCAUCCUUUAUCCUGUUCAUCCCAAUGCAACGUUGCAAACUACAGAAGAAUCCUGUAGAACUAGAAACUACCAGGUCACCAAGACACAAGCAACAAUAUAUUGCAUGCAACUACAAACAUCAUAGAAGACAGAAAUUCAAAUAAAUGUCUUUUUUAACACGAGCAAAAGUUCAAGUAAAUCAGACCUGAUACUUACCCCUACAUAAUCAUUAACUCCAUAUUCCCAUCCACAGUGGCAGAUUUAUCAAUUAUGUGUUAAUUAUUCUCCCUAUUUUCUUUACAAUUGAACAUCUUAAAACUAUGAAUUCAGGCAUAUACGUCCUGUUAACAUCCUUCUAAGGUCCCUGAUAUUAAGUCAACAUAAUGUACCACACGUAGUGCUUCCAUAAGCCCAUUGUCUUGAUUCCUUUUCAGCAAUGUAAAUCCCAAAUUACAAAGUUUUCAAUCAUUAAUUAAAAUAUCAAUCGUACAUUUCACUCAAUUAGUGCCAUCUCCUUUUGUUCUUCAAAGAGAGCGCUUUAAGUGCAAAAGGAGAAAACUUCAGAAGGUUGAAAACUUACCACUGCUAACGAAAAGUCAGUAUCUUUGACAUGUUUUGUAAUUUAAUUAUGGGGUAAGUAUUUCAAGAACAUUUACUCUGCCAAGCACUUAGCUUGAAAUAUAGGACAAACACCACUGCUUAGAAACAGUAUUUACACUUAAAGUCCUGAAGCAACAAGCUCAUGACAAAGAAAUCCCAUCCACACAACCACCUCAAGAGUGCCCUUGGGCCAGCACUUUAUCAACUAAAAUGCCUAGGUGUAACUCAUACAAAGGAGAUUAGAUGUGGAAAAUGCACAUGGCAUGGUUCCACUCUGUCCAAUUCUAGGUCGCAUUGAGUUACUAUGAGCAAUAUUUCCUUCUUGAACUCAAAUGCUAAAUGACGCAAAUCACGUGAGACAGAAAGCUGACUAGGAAUCAUGGCUGUGAACAGCAUUCGACAGAGAAAUACAUAUGAUUGCAGGGGUAACUACAUCAGCUCAUCAAAUAAAUCUUGUCCUCAAGGAAAAUUUAAGUAAAAAACAAAUAUAGGUACCUCUUCACUCCUAAACUACUCCUGCAUGAUCAUUAGCAACUCUUACUUUAACCAGGACAAGUCCUUUUGUUAGAUUACGGAUAAGACCUUCAUCAGCAAUUAUUCUCAAACAACCUCAUCUAGAGCGCAUCAUCAUUUAUUUUGCCUUUCACAGGCACCUUGAAUUCACUUUUCUAUUGAAAGACACAAUAAUCAUUUCUAUUCAUGCUAGCAACCUCUCUUUUAGGGUCAGCCCUUCCACUUAUAUACAAGGCCAGCCCCUUCUUUGCCAUCCUUCAAGAGUCAAAUGCAUGGACCAACCUAGAUUUGGACUCAUAAGAGAGACACAAUUACUGAACCAUAGCAGAAUUAUCUAUGUGUAGGCUCAGAACCUUCUUUUUUUGGACGUUCACACAACUGAAGGCUAAUUCGCUCCAAUUUUACAUAUUUCCUAGAAGAAAUGGACAUGAAGUCACCGGAAGGCUACCCCAAACCAUGAAAAUUUACAAGCGUAUUUAGUUUUUCCGCUGCUUCUAUCCAGCCUUCCAAAUAUAUAAUGCUGAUGUUAGAUGGCUAAUAGUACUCAAAUUUCACAUAUCAAUUACCUCUUGACUGAGUCAGUUUAAGAAAAAAGAAGCGUGAUAGCUCCAUGAAUUGAUCUUUCUAAAAGAAAAAAAUAUGCUUGUUACGUCAUCAAGCAAUUUGUAUCAAAGUGACCUUAUUGGACAGUCAGGUCAGGCUAGAGAUAUUGUCCUUCCAUUCACUCAGAUAUGCCUCCUAAAUCAUUCAAAACCAUCAUGAAAACAGACCAUCAGCUUUGAUCCCAUCAACUUCCAAAGAGGGUUUUGCUGGUGAAAAUAUUUCUACAUCUAACUUUCUAGACAAACUCCAACAUGAAAAUAGUCUUUCAAAGCUCCUGACACCAACCAGGCAGCAGAAUAAAAAAAAAUAAGGUCUUUUAUUUUUUGGAUACAUUUCAAUGAAUGUACAAGAGCAUAUGGCAAACUGUACCUGUAAUAUCUGAAGGCUUGUUGUUUGAAUUAGGUCCAGUAAGAACAGAUGCCUCACAUUUCCUCAACUUUUUUGGUGGUACACAGAUUUACUGAAAUCAAUAUUUCAAAUACUUGGUAAAACAAGAAACAACAGAAAAAGUAGGAAAGAAUACUAUAAUAACCCUUUCCAGAUCCAGAGCAGUGAAGAUUGCAAGACCUUUUAUCUUUAGUAGAGCUGCAUCUCGUAGUUGGUUUUGUUGAAGGUAAACUUUCAUCUUUUUCUGCUCCUGGAUUGACAUCUACUGUUGCCGAGAUAAUCCUUCCUUGAUUUUUCAUAUCAUUACUGCUUUCUCCAUUAAAAGUUCAGCUACACAAUAUGCAGCAACAGAUGCUCCAACUGCAUGAGUACCCUUUCCUUUAAAUUUUUUUCUGUGACUCCUGAUCCUUCUGUCAUGUUAAGAAGAUUUGUAGAGAAAAUAUUGCCACAAUUUUUCUCCAUUUCGGGAUAGUUCUUACAAAACCUACUUCCUGGAUCAGAUGUUGCCAAAUCUUGCAAUGGCGUCAGGGUUUCAUCGUUUGUCAUUGAAUAAUGUGUCUUUGGCAACACAAUUGGUUAUGUAAUUAGCAGACAAAACGGUCGAAGGCGCAAGUUUACAGUUAUUGGCCAUGCCUGCCGACAUUCCAUUCUCUUCUGUAGGCAGUUUGAGAUUCGCUACAACUCCAGAUAAGAGAUGACAGGAUGAUCCAUCUUCAUGUGAGAUAGAAUUCGUUCUAGGUAUCCUGGAGUUAUCACUGUUUAUUGUACUGCUGGCUUUUUGUUCAUCAUGGAUUGUACGCCUGGAAAAAAUACACAGACGGAAUGCAUCAAUGGACUAUGAACUUGCAUUAGAGAAUUUACACUGAUUUUCUCUUUUUCCCCCUCGUAACUAAAGAUAAUAGGUUAAGAAAAAUGUGUCCUUCUCAAAACUACAAAAUGUGUAGCAAUAUUUUCUUUAAUCUUUUCUUGCAAUCUCAAACUCACGAUGAAGUUUCAAACUGUACAGCAUACUUGUUUCUAGUAUUUUUCAUCUUCUCUUCUGGUGUUGUUAUCUGGUCCUCCAAAGUGUCACCAGUCCCAGCUUAUUCCCCUCUGCUGCAGGAGAACUUACUUUUGAAGGCUCAAUUGACUGGUCCAUUUUGUUGAUUUCACUUGUUCCAAAUGCCAUUGCUCUACAUGCCAGGUAAAAUUGGUUUACCCUCAAAAAACUUGCUACAAAUUAUAUGGAAUAAAACUGAUGAACAACCAGUGCUACAUAUCCUUCUCACACAGGCAGCAUUAGAAGGCUAAGCUCUAGAUAUAGUAACUACAACAUCAAUUUUCAAUAACUACAACUAGCUUUAUAAUUCCUAAUCAUAAUAUUACUUGUCCAAAGUUAGUGUAGAUCAACAAUAAGACGUAGCUUUUCAAUUUUCUCUGCAUUCUAUUUUUCCACUCUCCAUAUUCCUUUGAUCUUUUCAUUUUCUUUUGUCUUUGGGGAAAGGGAAGGGCAGCAUCCUCCCUACCUACCCCCAAGGAAAAAGUCACAAGCUCUAAAAUUGGGUGUCAUACUAGACCAACCUCAAUGUUUUUACUCUUGUCUUUCGAAUUAGCACUGUCAAGGUUUAGAGAAAGGAUGUCAUAACUACUACUUUUUCUGUUCCAUACAUUUGCUGUUUUCUCCUUUUUCCCCCUUUGCUGCAUAUAUUUCAUUCUAACCUUGAUUUAGAAACUAGAUUUAGUAAAACAAUUGACGUCUUCAUCCUCUCCCUCAGCAUAUAAAGCAGCCUCAAAAAUUCACUCGAGAGCUCACUGUGACAAUGUCGAUCAGGUCUCUCCUCUCUCUCUCUACUUCCAGAAUACCAAUAUCCCAAGCAACUUCAAAUGACUUCUAAAACACCCAUAAAUUAGCAAGAUUGUUUGUAGCAUGAUGAAUGUCUGUGGGAAAGCCAGACUUAUAAACACUUUGAUCAUUAUGAACUAGACAAUUCACUGCAUGAAAACCUGGAUUUUCAAAUUGAUAAAAGAUCCAAUAACAGGAUACUCAGUUUCUAGUAUCACUACUGAUAAAACCCACAGCCAAAUACAAAAUAAUGUCAGAUUAAUUGCUAACUAUUAUUAACUACUUUUAAGAAUAAAUUCAGUGCAAGACACUUUAAGCCUUCUUCAUAUUGAAGGGCAUCACUUGCUUCAACUAUUCCUUCGACUCAUCAAUGCAGUUACCAACAAAUACAUGUCCAAUGAAACAGAAACAUGUGUUUAAACCUAUUAAAGUAUGAAAACAUAAAUUGCAUCACUCAUGAAUGCAACUUUUAUUGGAGAAAUGAUGAUCUCAAUUUUCUGGAAACUUCUUUUUAAGGUAAUCAAAUGUUCUGGAAACACUUGUGUUGGAGUUAAAUCACGACGGGAAAGGAAGUAAUCAAACAUCAAUGGUAGACCACUUCAUUUAGUUCUGUUUUGGCUAUUUGAAUCCUGUAAAUUUUCUAGAAAUGAAAACAAUGAACCUUCAAAUGCUACUAGAAAAACUAGUAAAUGCAUAUAUAUUAGAUUAACAUUGUGAGAAACAUGUACUUUUCCUAGUUUUUCCAAACAAGUAUUCCUAAAGUUUUUCUUGGAAAUCGAAGCAAUGUGUGCUAUCAGAAAUGAAGUAAAAAUCCAGAAUAGCGCAAUGACAAUCAGAUUAUAUCUUUACUUGAGGGAAAGAAGGGACUACAAAACAAGAAAAGUUUCAGCUAAUGAAAUGAAUGAAAGGAAGAAUAAGAUAAUCUAUACGCUUUUGAGCACCAGCAAUGAAGAUGCCCAAAAAAGCCCAAGCCAGUUCAAUUCCUCUUCUCCUUCUACAGUUAUCUUCACAUCUAUAAGCCUCUUCAGUUAAAGAACAAUCCUAAAGACUUUGGUAUAGGACCCGGCGGAGAAGAAAACCCUAGCUGUGUUUAGAAAUGUAAGAAUUUAUAACUGAUUUAUCUAAUUGUAGCCCAACCAUGCUUCCAAAAGUCCCAAUAAAACCAAUUUUAAUCUAAAUGUGAAGCAUUUAGAUUAGUGUCUGCAAUACAUUUUGGAACAGUAACAGAACCACUUUUACAGCUAUUUUGCUCAAGACUCUUUGGUUUUAACAUACAAUUUACCACCUAUGUCACUCGUAAAACCCAACAUUUAAGUAAGUGAACCAUUACAUAAAUCCUAUAAAGUCUGAAUGCGAUAUAAUGCAUUGAUUAAUCCGACUCAUUUCGUUGACUUGUUUCCCUACUUAAAAUCAUCUCUACUUCAAAAAAAGAGUCAAUCUUAGAAACAAAUAUAAUGUCUCAAAGAUGCUAAUUUCAGAAAAGGAAAUCAAUGAGAAAGAUUUUGCUAUGACUUAUUUGCAUAGCAUAUACAAAAAUUUCGAAUACAUGCAUUAAAUCCAUAAUUUAUAUGGAGAGACAGGAAAAUUUAAAAAUAGAUCCCCAAUAAUUUCAUGCACAUACAUCCAUACCAGAUUUUAGGUGGAAUAAAUAAGAAGGCACACAAUAUCAAUCCAAACUAUCUUGACUAUAAAUUUUUCAGUCUCUUAAACAGGAAAUUAUACAACUAACACUUAUGAGAAGACUCUCAGCAAACCAGCAACUUUAAUUGACUAAUAAAAUAACACAACUCAACCAAAAAGCGAUAAAAAGUUUCCAACCAAGAUUGAAGACAUGAUAGAAAUCCUAGUCCAAGCAAGAUGUCCCAAAUAUGUUAUUUACUCUACCUCUGCAAGUUUUAAUAGCAUAUCCAAACUUUGAAUCAAUCAUAUUGUUUCUCUGCACAAAAAAGUCUCAAAUUGAUCAAUAAACUACUCAGAAACAAAGUUUUCAAGCAAGUACUAUAUUGUCUCAAGGAACCACCAUGCAGUGGCACUUAUUUACAACUUUCUCAAUAUAAAUUUCUCUCCUCUUUUUGAAAACUUUAACUGAAGGUUCAGGAUAUAGUCACCCAUAAUUCGGAACAAAUUUGUGAUCUAUUACUCCAUAAUUUGGAAACAUAUCAUCCAAGUAAGAUGACAAAGACAGUUUCUACAGGAUGAUUAUCAUUUUUGUAGGAUCCUAAAAAAAGAAAACAUUGCUUACACCAUUAUUUGAAGGUAGAAACAUCCUACAUAGUUCUUGAUCACAAGUAAAGCAAUCCAGUUCUUUUAUUGCUGACCAUGCCAACCAGUAGGACAGGAGAAGCUAUCAUGCAGGAGAUUGUGGCAGGCAACAAAGUAUAGAAACAAAUGAAAAGUUCAUCCUGUAAACAUCUUGUAUUACAGGUCUGCUCCACUACCAUUUUGUCACACCUAGACCCAACAAACCCGGUGAUGUUACCCAUGCUAUUGCACUCAAUCCAAGGGGAGACAACCAACCUCUUAAAAGAACUCUAUCAGUGCCAGGGCACUACAAGGACAUCCAAUCUAAUUUCUUUGACGAGGAGAGUCUGAGAACUGCAUCAAAUAGGAGAAGAUUUGGAAUGGAGAAGAUUUGGAAUGUCUUACAAGUAUGAGCCACAGUACUGCUUUGCAGCAUAAGAUAUCUGGUGUGCAACAUAAUACCAAAAUCAGAUUCAGUUAUGCUGGUUGACUUGUGGUCACACCACCAAGUUCACUGGCCUGACAAAUUGGCAUUAGAGCAGCUCCAUAGGUGAGAAUGUCUUGUAUUUAGAGCGAAAAGGAUGUCAUGUUCUUUAAUCAAGGUGAUCGUGAAACUUUAGUAUAUCCCACACUAAGACAACAAUUAUGUUUGAAAUAGGUCUCAGGUCCUCAAUGCACAAAUUUUGUAAAUCCAUAUCCAUAAAUAAGUGAACAUUUAAAUCAAAUUCUGCAUGCCUGCUGCAGCUCAAUUUUGCAUUUGGGGGUUCGGUUUUAAAGGGGGGUGUUGAAAGUAAAUCUCUAGGUCUGAUCCCAUUUAUUUCCAAGUACAAGCAAUACUGGAAAGGGGUGAUUUUUCAUGGUCAACCUCCAAGUUAGUAGAUAGUCAAAAAUGUCCUACAUAUACCGAAUGCGACUAAUUGAAUCAUAACCCCCCCCCCAACCCCCAAAAAAAGGAACAAUAUUAUUAAACAAAAUCACAUGUAAUCUCACAUUUGCAAUACUAUUUCUCCUCAAAUUUUCCACAAUGGCUAUCUCCACUAACACAAAAUAUUUUCAGAUCAACAAAUAUUACAAAGAUUAAGUUUUAGCAACUGUGCAAGCUAAUGAAGCCCACAAUGUUCAUCUUUCUCUCUGAAAAACCUUACGUUAUGUUCCUCCUAUCAUCCAAAGGACUGCUGAAUGUUUCCCAAUGUUCUUUCAGCACCUUUCCUGGGCUAACUAAAGUAUUGCCCACUAAAACAGAACAUGGAGAAGAUUUCCCAAUGCUCCUUAAGUCGUCAACAUAUCUAAGGUGCUGCAGCAAUUGGUUGUCUUCCCCAUUUUCCUUGCCAAAAAUUCGUUCUGUCAGAAUCACCAGCUAAGCUGCGCAGCAUUGAAAACAACUUUUUUCUUGGAAGCUUCAAUUGUCAAAAAUCCAUGCUCUUCUAGUCUUCCUUCUAAUUUAUGAUGCAAUCAGGUUUCACAAUAAACAUUUAUGAAUCUUUCCUCUACAUAUCCACUUGUCCUGAUUUGCAAUUGUAGCGCUUAGAUGACAAACCAUGGGAAGGUCGCAGCUCCUAUUCUUGACAUCCUAAUCUGAACUCCAAAGCCCUCAUCUUCCGAUUCCUACAUUCCUCCUUGAUAUUGCUCCAGUUGCUACUUUGAUAGUUGGUAUGCAGAACAAACCAAGAAAUUCUCCAUGACUGCUCUUUGCACAGCGUACCUUCUUCUGCCCUCUAUAGAAGUUUCAAUAAAUUAACAGAAACCCAACCCAAGUUCUUAUGAUACUUCACCAUAACCCACACGAUAUAGCAGGUCUAUUUCUUUAACUCUCCAAUGAUCUCAUUACAAUCCGCACUUCUUGCCUGUUACCCUCCUUAGUGCCUCUAGUUCUCCUACAAGUCCUGAAACCCAUUUAUUUCUGCAAGAGCAGAAUAGAGCCCAUGAAUAUUCUUGAUGUCUAAGAAGAGCCCUAUAUUCCACUGGGGAUAACAGGUAAUUAGUUUAAACAGCUUGUCUCCCUAAAACCUUGCAAUGGAAGUUUCUUUGCCACUACUCCAAUUUCUCAGCAAUGAAAUAGGAACAACAGAGAAAUAAACACCUUGCUUUGUGCAACUUCUCCCAUCACAAGUCCAUCAUGCAGAAUGCAAAUGGACAAAUGGAAUUGAUGACACACUGAAUCAAAUGUAAACUUGGUGAAUAUACAUCCAGAAAUGCUUCAAAAUUGGAAGCCCAUUCAUCAACUUCGUAUGAAAUCUUUAAAUAGGAAAUGUGUAAAGAAGAACAACAUAUUAUUACGAGUUUUACUCUUAAGAUGCCCUGUAGCACUGUUCUUUGUGGUUACCACUCAAUCUGUUGUAUUUCAAGAAGCCCCAACAAUCACACAACAAUUUCCCAGCUAAUCAGUUAUAUCUCCAAUUUACUCAUUUGCCCAUGUCAUCUCUAUCUUUCUGAUUUUUCUGCAAAUAUUGCUAAUCAUACUUUUCCAUGUUUAGAAUUCUUCAAGCACUGUUCUCUGAUCUCAAUGUCUGAAUGUCACACAUCCUUCAUACUCCUAUAAAAUUUCCACACCCUUAGCAUAUGGUUGAGAGACAAUGCAAAAUUGCAAGCAUGACCUAUUGGAAACUUAAUGCAAGAACUGGUGCUUCUAACAUUUUGUCUUGCUUUGCUUGUUUUCAACUUUUUGUAUCCCUUUCCAAACACUUAUGAACAGUUGAAGUAGACUUCAACAUGGAUCAGCAUCCUCAACAAGCCCUACGAAAUUCUUCACAAACAUAGUUUGGUUUACUCAUCUUUUGUUAUAUUUUCCUGAUGGAAAAGUAUUUUCAAUAUCUUCGAGCCUCGGCUAGUGUUUUGUGCCUUCCACUGAUAACCUUUGAAAAAGCAACCUAAGAAUUCCUCUGUAAUUACUGACGCUAACACAAAUAACCUUCUUCUGGAUCAUCUACGGUUUCCCUUGACAAUACCUUACCUAACAGCACCAGGAAAGGAAAACUAAUGAAAGAGAAAAAUGCUUGUUCCUGAUUACUUAAUGUUUCACAAGAGUAUCAGUGACAGAUGACAAUAUUCCUCAAAAUACUGAUGUUAGCAGCAGCAGUGAUAGAACAAAUGUUAAAAUAUUUGUUGUAAUACUGAUGCGGGUUUAAGAGAACUUCAAAAUGCAGAACAGUGCUGCUCUUAUCUCACUUAGAUUAAUCAGUAUACAUUUUCCUAAUGCACAGCAAAGUGAAAAGUGAUAUGGGAUAUAAUGAGAUGGAAAAAGAGGCAGCAUGUUUGAUAUAGCAUAUAGAAAGCUGCAUCCCCACAUAUAUCAAGCCAAACACCAAGUUUAUAACUGCUGAUCAUAUCCAAACACCUAGAGUCAGACGAGUGCAAUCUAUCACCAAGCAGAUUCUCAAUAAAGUAAAACUAUACCUGAAACCAUAACACCACACAUGCAGCCUACUCUUCAUUUGUUGAGCAGGCUUUAUAAACUUGUAGCAAGUUCAACAGAAUCAUCAAAUUUCAGCCUCAAAGACAUCUCCAUCUUCUUAGUUGCACUGGACUCCACAAUAGUUGAUCUAGUCUCCUUGAUAUGUAGAAUCAUUAAAGCAAAUAAAGAAAUAAUAAAAGGAAAUAAAACAACAUGUCUUUUAACAGAACAGCAGUUGAAUAGAUGAAUUAUACAAGCCAUCAGUUCAGAAAAACUGAAUAUAUUUCACUUGAACAAAUACUCUAUGAGCUAAACGGGAAUUACCUCCUUUAGAUGCCAAAAGGAAUUGGAAAAGAAAACUUUAUCAGCAUUUUCAAAAGUCAAAAUCGAAGAAAAAUGACUUGACUAUAAGAAUUGAUCAAAGAUUGCCUGCGAACAAAUAUGAUUAUACGUAGUAUCAGUUCACUGAGUGCAGCAUUAAGAUAAACCAUCCAAAAGGACAGAGAAGUAAGUUCCAAGAUAUAAGCCCAUGGAAAGGAAUAAUAUCCACCAUUUAAUGAUCCUAAUAAAAAGAUAUCUUGCAGAAGAAUGUAACAGACAUCAAUCUGAAUAUAUUUGUUUUUUUACAGAUACUAACCCAUGCAACCAAAAGUGAAAUGCACACUUGCUUCUUCAGGUCCAGUUUAACAAUCAUAGCAUUCUCCUCCGCAUGUUCUGGACAGUCCCCAAGAUUUCUCAAACCCCAUUUCGCAAUCUCCAGUGAAUUUGCACCACCUUUCAUCGAGUAUGAUAUCACUCCUACGUUACUUCUUGAUCUCACAGCUCUCAUGAGUGUGUGAAGCAUGCUCAUAAAAUAUGAGAAAUUUCUACCAAAAAAAUGAGAAAUAAGGAUUACAUCAGAAGGCCAACCAACUUUUCUCUAGAGUAGAAAAGAGAACCUUUUAGGCCUAGAAGAAUGUCGGGAAUAAUCCAAAAGAUUAAAUUCAAGGGAUAAUUUCAGAAAUCUCCCCUGGAGUUUUUGAUAGUUUCACUUAGCUCCCUUAAAGUUUUAAAAAAUCACUUAUCCCCUUAGUUUCAAAUUUUUGUAACAUUCUCUCAAUUUAAAGCGAAAGUUGUUUCGUUCCAAAGUUGACCUUCCAUUGUGAUUCCUUAGUUGUAAUGACAAAUCAAUUUAAAAUCCUUUCAUAUUUGUUAAAACUUGAUGAAUGUGUUUUUUAGUAAAAAAUUAUAAGUUUAGAGUUGAGAAAUCCUUUAACAAAUCUUAUCUAUAAUUUGGAUACAAAAUUCUAAAUUGACAAAUCAUAAAUAAUUAACAAAGUAUGUAAAAACUAUUUGAAAUAUUGUAAAGAUGUGAAAAAUAACUUUUUUCAUCUUCUAAACAACAACUCAAAUAAAUUCUAAAUAUAAUUUAAAUUUUUUCUAAAUCUUCAAGACAUUGAUUCAAAUAAAUAAAAACUAAAUAUUCUUCUAAACAAUUCAUAUUAGAUUCAAUCAAAACAUUUUACAUAAAAAGAAAUAUUUUUCUCAUUCGAUAAUCUAAGAGCAUGUGAUAAACAUAUGGAUAAAUAAAGAUUGGACAAACACUGAAGUUUUUAAAUUAUGAUAACCUCCUAAAUUACAAAACAUUUGUAGAAGAAAUCUACAUUUUUUCAAAAAAUAAUAAUAACAAUAAUAUCAGGUUUAUUUCUUACUAUGUGACCUUAGAUUACCAAAUAGACAAACAUUAAAGGAAAAAAAUUACUUUGUAAUUUGAAAACAUGUUAAACAAAAUUUUAUUAUUUGUUUGUACUUUAAAAAAGCAUAUUGUUUUAUGGUUGCAAUUAUUAUAUGUUGUUCCUUUAAAAAAAAAAAGAACAUUUUCAUGCUUUUUGUCCUUAUUUUAAACAUAUAAUUAUUAUACUUACAAUUAAAAAAAUUAAGGCGAUGAAGGGCAUUAUUGGAAAGAAAUUAUUUUCUCUUUCGUAAAAUGAGUAUUUUAAUCAUAUAAUUUGAAUUGGGUUGAGAAAGUUACAAAAAUUGAAAAUAUGGUAGGUAAGUGAUAUUAUUUUUAAACCUUUAAGAGUAAUAAGUGAAAUUAUCAAAAACCUCCAGAGAGGUUUAUGUAAUUAUCCCUUAUGCAAAUGAUUAUAUGAAAUCAAAAUCCACACAAUACCUGCAGCUACUUCUACGCAAGAAGAAGGGAAUCUCAUAUAAUCAUCAGAGCCACAAAAAUUAAAAAUUACAGGAUACCUGAUGAAAAUAUGCAUGACCCAUUUGAGAAUUUGAUAUUUUUCAAGUCAAAAACUGUGUCGCAUGUGGGCAAGAAUUCAAGAAACAAAAAAACAACUCAAAAACCCAUUUGAAUAAAGAUAUGCAAUUUCAAUGAAUAAAGAACUCACCCUAAAAUUGUUACGACUAAGUGGCAGCUCAGAUUUGCAGCAGUUGCUUGUAUCAUACGAACAGAGCACUUUGAAAAGGGGUGUUUCGCAGAGCACUUUUAUGUUUUCCCUAUUUUUUUCUAUGGAGUAUAAAAUUCUUUUUCAUCAACCAAAAAAAAAAAAUUAGGAAGCUUGUAAUCUGAUGGGUAAAUAAGGUGCAAAAAUCACAAAUUUGUCAGUAUGAACAAUAUUAUACCAUGCUUAAUAAUCUUAGUCUUGCAUUUUAAAAAUACUGGUUUAAUUUAUCUCAUCAAGGAAAUGGAGAAGACAGUGUCAACAUGGAGGAACUUCAGAACCAAGUACUAGUAGGACGAUCAAGUCUCAAAACUGGAGUUUUCUGUGGGGCUUGAGCAUGCCAAAUAAACUCAUAAACACUUCAUCUGGAAAUGUUUGCAAGGAAUACUGCCAACUAACACAGUGGUGAAGGGAAAGUGUGGUAAGGGGGACCAUGCGUGCAAGUGCUGUGGAGACAGCUCUGAGACAUUAGAGCAUAUGUUUUUUCUGUGCUGUAAUGCUAGAGCAAUUUGGAAGGUGGCACCAUUGAGGUGGGAUGGAUUGGAGGAGUUUAGGAAUAACUUUUGGCAUUGGUGGGAAGAACUUGGGGGGGCUGUGGCUCGAGGGGAGGAAGGGAACACAUAACUCUCACGGUAAACAUUUUCUGGCAGAUUUGGAAAUCCAGGAAUAAUGAGCAGUUCAAUAACAGGAGCAGUGAGCCUAUGGUGGUGAUUAACAAGGCACUAAUGGAAUGGAAUGAGUUUCAACUGGCACAAGGGGGGGGGGGGAGCAAAACAUGACAACCUGGUAGUUGGAGAGCAGGAGAAGGGCAGGAGAUGGGAUACACCGCAAGCUGGCUGGAUCAAGCUCAACACUGAUGCAGCUUUGGACCAAAAACUUAACAAGGCAGGGUGGGGUAUAGUGGCCAGGAACGGUUCAGGGGAACUGGUAGGUUCAUGGGCGAGGCCAACUGAAGGCUGUGCUGAGGCACAGGUGGAGGAAGCUCUGGCAAUACGAGAAGCUAUGGUACUAGCUAAACGAAUGGGAUGGAGAAAAGUGGAGUGAGCUGGAAUCGGACUGUAAGCUAGUAGUGGACAAAAUCAAUGCAAGGGAGGAGGAAGUCAGCAUAGCCAUAAUUCAGUUGGAUAUUUGGAGGCUGAUGAAAGAAUUUGAUAAAUGUUGUUUUUCUAUACUAGAAGGAGCAACAACUAUGUAAGUCACUAUUUAGCAAAGUUUGCUAUAACACUGAUUGAUGUAGCUGAAUGGAAGCUUAGCUUCCCAGCGUGGCUGUGAAUUAGCUCAGGCGGAUUUACAGGAGCAGUUGCUCUGACUCUGUACCCGUUUAUGCUUAAUACAAUGUUAUCGUUUGGAAAAAAAAAAAAUCCUAGGAUUGAUGUAUUGUUGUUUUGCAGGAUUUUGUAGGCGUAUGAUGGAAGAAAUUUGACGGUGAGCCUGUGAAUAAAUUCAAUGGCAAUAAUGAGUUGAUGUUCUUAAUCCGGUUGAAUUGAGACAUCUUUGGCAAAAGAUAAUAAAUGCACGAGUCAAUAAUAUUCAUUGAACACAAUUAGGUUUUGAUUAUUUGAUCAUCUACACCCAAUCUUUUGGUAUUGUAAAUGCUUGACAUGGGUGUAGAUUGCAGCAAAACAUUUGGUCCUCACCCCAACACCCACCCCCUCCCCCCCUCCGCCUCCCAAACGAAAAAAACUUGAGGUCCAUCUCACUUUUCCAGUUUUCCUCUUCUCAGGACAGACAAUCCCCCCACCACCACCACCACCACCAAAAAGAAAAGGACAAAAAACGCCCAAACAACAAUAGAAAUUAAUGGAAGCAAACAAAAAUUAUAACAUCAGAGACGUGACAUUUGUUCUAUUUCAGUAGUUGACCACUUACAAGUUCCUAUUUCAACUUGCACACGACAAGAAUGGUAGACAAAUAAAAGAGAAACAUUACUGCUUUCUAGGUGAUGUUAAAAAAAUAUAUAUUAAAGAACAAAAAAGAAAAGAAAAGAAAUUCAAGCCCCUGUUCCUUUUUCCUUGACUUGGUUAGCUUAUGUACAGUUUAAUAUAGAAAACAUAUCCGCCAUUACUGGAAGCUCCUUCAAACAAAUAAUGUCACUUUGUGAUCCAGUUUACUUACAGAAUGAUCAAUUUGAUUACAAGAACAAGCCAACAAUUGAUUGGCUAAUAAGGCUUGUAUUCUGGAGAUCUUCUCCAAGCAAAAGAGACCUCAAGAUGGCUGCUGCACAUACCGAACUGUCAUACACAAGCAUAUGCCCACCAUCAGGAACCUCGUGAUACCGAAUCCAGGGCAGCCUUUCUGAAACAUACCUUUGCAAUUUAACUGGCACAACCUUGUCCUCGCAACCUUGCCAGAUGUGAACAGAGCUUUCAUUCUCAGCAUAUGGAUUAGUUAGUUCCAUCGGUUCAAAGUCCCACCACCAAAGGCCACAAUGCAGUCUUGCGAAUGGACUCAAACGUGUGGCGAUCCUUAAAUCCAUUCUGUACAAAUAGGUAAAAUGAGAUGGUCAAUCUUUCAUCAGCUUUACAAAAGGAUACAACAGACUAGUGCCUUGCUUAGGAUAUUGUUGUAAGAACAAACUUCCCUUCUCUUUUAAACAAUUUGCACAAAGAAAAUUACCUGAGCAAAUAAACUGGUAUCCUUUAGUGUUACUCAAGAAUUCUAGGUCUUUCGAGCUAAAGAAUGCAGGGUUUUUAUCAAGAACGUUGGAUGAGGGGAAAACUUUUUGAGUCAACCACCAAUGUAGCAGUCCAGGAGUAUGGCGUAAAAGCCAGAUAAUCCAUCGGCAAAGGUUCUUCCGGUAGUCAUCCUUUACCAGAUCUUUUGGAAGAGUGCGCCACUUGUAAUUGAUCAUAGGGACUAUGAGCGCAGAACCUGCUAGCCUGCAUCUCAUAAAUCAUAGAUACAUGUAAAAUUUGCUGGUUUGAAAUAGGAACGACAACUGCUGAAGGCGUUUUUGAGGUGAGUUCUAACCUAUGUGGUAGACGUUUGAGGCAACUCCAGACAGGAUAACAACCCAAAGAAACUCCCAUUACGUAGAAUUUGGGUCCUAGUUCUAGCUGAUCAGCUAGUUCCUCAAUGUCAGAUGCUUCACUUUUUACUGAGCGUUUUGGAUUUGGAUCACUCUCCCCAUAUCCAGCUCGAUCAAAUAAGAGGAAAUAUAUUCCCAACUCAUCCAUUAGUUCCUGGAGACUAGUACACAAUGAGAUUGUUCCAUAUAAUGAAUCUUUAUGAAACAAUGGUUCACUGGACAAAUGUAAAGGCCACCCCAUCUAUACAUUUUGUAUUAUCUUAGUCAAAUGAGAAACACAAAGUUACUUGUUAUUAAUAUUAGUUGUAUGUCAAUCUUGAAAGUGGUACAAUUCAUUAGUGAGUCAUUCCAUCACAUGUAUAAAGUUACACUCUUCCAUCAUCAUUCCACAAAACAACCAGAUUAACUGCACUAUCUUGACCCUUGUAAAUUGCAUAUAUCAUUAAAUCAGUAAAUUACUUUGUGUUGCUAAAUCAAAAAGGCUAAUUUCCUCCAUAACUUACAAAACAGAGCUAGUCAAGAUUGAUGAUUCCAAAUUGAACAGUGAAAAUGCAGACUUAUUUAAUCUGCGUUUCAUAUUCAAAGUUCGGCUACUGAAACCCUGGAGCCCAAUACCAUCCAUCUGUACUAUGAACAUUUUGGAACAGAAACUUAAAGCAGACCUGCAUAAUACUACAAUCGUGCCACAUGAAAUAAAGAUAUUCAUGGCAAACCAAAUCUAGAGAACUGUAAAACAUGACAGCCUAGAACCGCAAGAACUAUUAAUCAUCCGAUAUAGAUAAAAUCCCCUUUGCAUAAUACAAGUUAACACUGAAAACUAGCCAAUCAAUCUAAUUUUCAAGCAAGCUGACAUUAAUUUCAACCGUUUCAUGUUACGCCUAUAAAAUUUCAAAGCACGAUUCCAAACUUGACAAACAUGCAAUACCCAAAACCUUUAUUACAUUCAAAAAGUAAACUUUUGGGACGGGUAAACGAUGAAACAUCCAUUCAUUCAAUCAAUCAAAAAGAUUCAGAUCAGUAAAAAGUUGCUGAUACCUCGGGUGCUAAAAAGUUCAUUUCUUUGGAGCUGCCAAAGCCAUGAACACAAAUUACUCUAAAAUUGGACUUAUCCUUGGGGACUCCCACUUCUCUGUAAGCCAAGUAUCUUCCAUCACUCAGCCUGAUUCUUGGUGAUUUGUUUACUUCAGCUAGAUCUAAUGGCUGUGUUUCAGCAGCCUCAGAAGGAGAUGGCAGUGUAGGCUGAUCACUUAAUCCGAGGCAGCCAAUCAUCAUACCAAAAAAUCUCCUAAAGACCAUGUCUGAAUUAUGACAAAAACAUCAACAAAAAAAUUUACUGAUUAGAUUUCAGGAAAUUGAAACAUGGGCUACUCUUGUAUUCUUCGUUUAAUUGAUGGGGUGGUUGAAUUAAGCUCACCUGAGCCAGCUUUUUCAGCAGAAGCGAUGGUGGAUAUGGGCUCUCCGGUGGAAGUUUUGUUAUCGGGGUCAGCAGUUGUAGAGUGCCUUGGAGUCCUGUUGGAGACACUGUAAACUCUCGAAGCCUUUAAAAAAAGAGAUCUGAUUUACUAAUUAUUUGUGUGUAUUUCACUCUUCCUUCCCUUCUAAGUUUUAAAUUUAAUUGAUUUGUCACCCUUGUGCAGCCUGGUGAAUCCUGAUUGUAACUUAUAGAUGGUUUUAUAAUGGUAAGAAGUAGGUGCUAAGUAUGUACAUGUAUAUUUUAUUGGAUGGAGUGGGCGGGGAGCUGUGGUUGGGGGUUUUCCACUUAAUUCUUGGGUUAGGAGAGGAUUAUUGCCUUAUUAAUCGAGAAUUCGAGGGCCUUUAUGCAAUACAACAAAUCCCACCAAGAUUACCAAAAAAAAAAAAAAAAAAAAAAAAGGAAAAAACUUGUCGAGUAUUUUCCUUAGUAAUGCCAAUUUAAUUCUUGUCCCAAUCAACUUGUAAAUGCCCAAAACGGGAAAGAAGGACCUAGGAAAUGAAGCGAAAUGUGAAUUCAAAACGAUAAUGAAAAGAUAUUAUUUAUACACAAAUACGUACAGGUGAAAGCUACGUUUUGCAGCAAUUAAUUGUAUUAGCGUAUAAAAAUUGAACUAUAUAUAUUGAUAAUUGAAAGCUAUAAAAAAUUCAAUGAAAAAAACCCCGUGAGCCGACCAAGUUGUCAAGAAACGAGAGUUUCUCUUUUCCAAUUGUUUCAGCCCCACACACUUCUCUUUUCCAAGGAAACUUCUUCCUCAUAUUUUUCAGGCUGCAAUUGUUAGCAAGCUUUACUGUCUCCUGGUCCCACUAGCAAAAGGAGAUGAAUAAGUGCAGCAUCUUUCCAACACAUUUGAGUUGAGGGCAUUCUACAUGAAUUCUUGGCAGUUUCCAACUUCCGAGCGUUAGAAGCAUCUGUGAAGGUAGGCUUUGAAAGUCGAAUGCGCAUUCACAUUUGACAGAAGGAAAGAAACUUCUGCAAUUGGCAGGUUUACUAAAGAAACUCAGGAUUCCGAUGCAAACAUCGGAGUUACUAAAGCAGUUGCGAUCGUUGAGUUGGAGUGUGAACGUGAUAUUUCUUCCAGAGACGUUUCCAAUUCAUAAUAGGAAUCAUUUGUAAUAGGUUAUCUUUUUAGGCUUUCCUUUGUCAACCGGGAUUCUCCUGAUCUUGAUAGCUAGAAACUAGGAAACUAAUUAGACAAGAGGAAAAAGAGAACGUUUGGCUUUUAUAUUCUCCAACCAGGAAACAUUACAUCGCAUCUUCAUCUUUAUCUUUGUGAAAAGACGGGACGACCUUGUAAUACUUCAUCUUUUGCGUUGGAAUUUUUCUCCGUGACGAACAAUUAAUUUCUUUUCUAGUCAAGGAUCAAUUUGAAAACACGGUUCCGUGAGAUCAAAUUGAUUUUUUAUUAUUUCUUUUAAUUCAUUGGUAUUCAUGUAUUUUCUAAUUUAAUUUCUUAUGAUUGUUUCGUUAUUUGAUUGUCAAAGGGUCCGAUAUUCAAAUUAAUCUAAUAACCUACUGUCAUAUUAAUCGAUUAAAUCUAUAAUUGUUUGAUUAGUUGAUACUAGUGGCAACUAGCGUGAUUGAUUUCAUAUUAGGAAAACGCAUGAUCUAAUUUAAACAAACUUUCGUAGCGUGUUUGUUAGUUAGGGUUGAAUUUUUCUAGUUUCUAAUGCAAUUAGGAAAUUAAGUCAUAUAGUCAUAGCCAAGGUUAUUUUUUGGUUAGAUAAAUAGUUAAGGGCCGUACAUUGAGUAUCGAUGAAGUAAAGAAAAGUUGAUUGUCGGUGUUUGUUAAUAGUUAUAAUCAAUCUAUUAAUUAAUAAUUAAACUAUUUUUGCAUCGAUGAUUAGUUGUGUGAACCAUACAUAAAAAGUUACACUUUUGACUAGAAUCAUAUGUAUCGUUGAUUUAAUUCCUAUUUAUUUUCACAAAUUACUUUUCUAAUUAAUUAUUUUUAAAAUUUCCAAAAAUUUCCAUUUUAUUUAGUGUUUUAGAAGGAAAUGAAUCAUCCACUUCCCGAGUAGAUAACUCUAUUCGCCGCUAUACUUGAAUUUAAAUUUUUAAAGUAGGAAUUUUAAUUUUGGUGGUUUGACACUUAUCACUAGUAUCUUUUCCGGUCUUACAGUAUCACAUCCAUGAUUUGGACGCUGAACGUGACAGUGAAGAGACCCCUAAGAGCUCUCUCUUGAUCAUGGAUUUGGGGCAGGGACGGUCAUCAGUAUGACCGUCCCUGCACGGUUAAAAUUUUGUGCGGCUGAAAAUUGGCCCUCAAAAUUUUGUGCGGCUGAAAUAACACCAUGUAACUAGAAAUUCGCGUCAAGUGUGGGGCCAUCACUAUCUGUUGUGAAAAUACAUCCUGUGAAAAAAAAGUUACGCGCAGUUGAACCAAUGUUACGCGCAGUUGAAAUGAGCUAAAAUUGGCAGGGACGGUUGCAGCCCCGAGUCCCUUGAUCACAGGGCCAAUUCUAGUGAUUAAUUGGGCUCAAUAAAACUAAUUGUAAUGGAAAUUUUAUAUUGCAUGCAAAUGUUUAUAGUGAGGUUUGUUUCAAAUGCAACAAAUAUGUUCCAGUCACAGAAAAUAAAUCAAGUGUCAAUCAAGAUUGUAAUGUAAGAUGGGAUGUCUAGGUAUUUAGUCACAAAAAAGCAACUCAAAAUCAUGACAUGCUUGUGCAAUAAAUACAAAUAUAGAAAAGUAUUGCUAAAAACAAAGAGGUGAAUUAUCUUCUAUUUCACUUCUCUCGUACAAAAUCAUGACAUGCCUACGAGAUAGAUACAGGCAUUAGAAUAGCUUAAAAACAAGGAGUUGUUGGCUGUCUUUUGCUUUAUUUCCAUGAUUAAGGAGGCUUCAUGUGCAUGUCCAGCGCCGAAUGCAAAAUGCUACAAAUAAUAGUCAAUCGAAAUUUUGGAUAUAAAAAAAAUGAAACACGUAAGCGGGCAGUUUAUUUCUUGGGAGUUUAAACAUGUGACCGCCAGCUUAUAUGGUGCAGUCUAUUUACAAUGGACGAGGAAGGCAAGGCAUCAUCAUCCAUUGAACACUUGGACAUUCUUCAUAGAAUAUUCCAACUCAAUGAUUCACGUUAGCUUUCUACUUUCCUAAAAUAUAUUUCUUGAAAAGGAUUUGUCAAGUGGAUUGUCGAGGUAUAGAUUGGGUGAUAUCCAAAUAUAAAGUGUGAGUGAUGCUACUAAAAAAAAAAGGAGUUGUCAAAGGGAAAAUGAAUGGAUUAGGUGUCACAGGGAAAGGCAGUAUAAGUGAGAGUUUUCGAAUUUGAAACCUCCCACUUAUAAAAAAAAAAAAAAAAAAGGUUAUAGAAGGCAUUUAUUAGAAUGAGUUAUGGAUUGUGAUACUGAUAUUUUUCUUAAAAGUAAAAUUAAAUCCGUGAUGUUUGAAUAUAAAAGAUAUAAUAUAAAUAGGGGUAUGUACUCGCUCAAAAUUAAAUGUGAAAAAGGUGUAUUAAGAGCAUAUGUAAGAAAAACUUCAAAAAAGAAAAUUCCAUUUGGCAUAUUAAAUCAAGUCAAAAAAUAGAAAUUUUUUGAUAAUACUAGUUUUUAGGUUAGAGAGAGGCCUAGCCUGUAAGCUAGCCCUCUGAUGAGUUGACCAAUUUCUCUAUCCCCGCUUCUUCUCCUUAUAUUAUUAUAUAGCAGUGUUUUAGUCAAAUUAAGAUUUUAGUAAUUCUAUUGAAAUUAAAUUAUAGUAAUUUUAGUAUUUAGGAAUUAGUUUGCUAUUAGAAAAUUUCUUGUUGUUGUAAGAUUUAUUUACCAAGUCAUUUAGUCUAUAAAUAGGGAGUCUUAAUAUUGUUGUCAAUUGAAAGGGUCUAUAAAUAGGUCUUAAUAUUGUUGUUAGUUAAGAAGAGUUAAGAAUUGAUAAUAUAUUGUUGCCAAUUGAGAAGAGUUAAGAAUUGAUAGCCUUGUUAUUAUUAAGUAUGAUUAUUGAUAUAUUGUUAGUAUUAUUCAUCUUCUCCCAAACAUACUUAUAUGUAGGGUUGCAAACGAGUCAAGUUACACGUGAGCACUUGAGAGCCGGUGCAAUCAAAACUCAACUCGAAUUCGAUCAACAUCAAAUUAGAGUUGAGGUUCAGCACAGAAAAACUUAGCUCAUUAGCUCGCAAUAUUACUUUUUAUUUUAAUAGUGAAAUUAUGUAUAUAUGUCCAUAAUAUUUUGUUAUUUGUUAAGAAAAAUUACGAUUUUUUUAAUUUUUUUAAGCUCGAGUAGGCUCGAUCUAAAGCUCAACUCGGCUCACAUUUUAAGUCAAGUUCGACCUCAAACUUUAUAUUGAGAGGUCAUCCAACACGAGUUUGGAAAAAUUGAGUCGAGAUUCGACUUGAUUAAGUUAAAACUCGAUUUGACUCGAUUCAUUUGCAAUCUGUGUGGAAAUUGCUUCUCCCCAUAUACAUUAAUUUUAUGAAAUUCAUCUACUAUAUGUUCUUGUUGGAAUUUUUUGGAUUCUACAACUAGUAUUGAAGCUGUAGGUUCAAAAAAUUGAUCCUGAGCGCUUAUAAACAUUGAAGAAUUGACCUGACUAGAAACUUAGUUUUGGGAGUUUUCUACGGUCAAAAUUAGAGCAUAGGUGAAGAAGUCAGUUGAUCGAGUUAGAUCACAAGGCUAAUCUUGAAGUAUCCGGCAGGUGAAUAUUGAACCAUAAAAUUGGUUUGAAAAUUGUCAUAUUGAUUGCAGUAUUGCGAUAGAGACCAGAGAACAAUCCUGUUAGUUGAAUUGCUUGCGAUUAUUAAAAUUACAAAGUGAGUUGUCAAUAAAUUGACAUCAUACAUAUUAUGUGAUGAAAAUCAUCUAUUCAACAAUCUAUUCAAGUACAUGGAUUAUUGCAACAAGGAAGAACCAUACAAAGUGAUGUUGUCAGAAUUUGACAAAGAGAUUAUUUAUAAUGAUGGUGGUGAACUUGAUUGAUUGGAUAGUUUGAUUUAAGCGAGGCAAUGUUGGUAUAUUAAAACAAGUCUCAUAUUAUUAAAUUGCAGAGUUUUAGUCAAGUUAAGAUUUUAGUAAUUCUAUUGGAAACAAAUUGUAGUAGUUUUAGUAUUUAUAAAUUAGUUUGUUAUUACGAAAUUUUUUGUGGUUAUAAGAUUUGUUUACCAAAUAAUUUAGUUUAUAAAUAGGUAGUCUUAAUAUUAUUGUCAGUUGAAAAGAAUGGAGGAUUGAGAGCCUUGUUAUUAUUACGUGUGAUUAUUGAUAUAUUAUUGAUAUUAUUUCUCUUCUUUUAUACAUACUUGUAUGUGUGGAAAUUGCUUCUCCCUAUAUAUAUUAAUUUUAUGAAAUUUAUAUACGAUAUCUUCUUGGUAGAAUUUUUUGGAUUUUACAUACCACGAUAGUAAUCAAGUGUACACUUUUCUAGAGCCUUUGUUUGAAGAAAUGAAUUAGGACCUCCACAAUAACUUUAAUAUGAGAGAGAAUCAAAUAAACGGAUCACAUGUUUGUUUUUUUCCUACCAAAACAAAAUAUUAAUGGACCACAUCCCACAAAAAGUAAUAGAAAAAAAAGUAUUAUUUCAUGAGGUGCCUACCAGACACUCGUUAAUACAUCUAAAUAAUACUUAAUUUAUUAUGCGAAUGUAUAUAGUUAUAAUUAUUGCACCCCUGUAUUUAGCUAUUUUUCUGAAUUAAUUAUACUUUUAAAAAAAACUAACACCAGAAACCCUCUUAAUGGUCGCCUAUUUGGCACGUGUUAGUCAAACUGAUUGGAAAAAAGAAAAGUCCUGCGUUCGUUAAUCUUGCAUGUGUUAUACUUCUUUAUAGAAAAGUUCCCCUUAUAAUUUCAUCAUUAAACAUGCAAGUGGUAAUGAUUUAAUUUGGUAUUGACUCGUGGAAUUUACCCGGUCGCUAACUCUUACCACCUGACAAUAUAAUCAAUCUGAAGACCUUUAAAGCAUCUUGAUGACAACUACAGACUUGCCAAAUUUGGCUGCUUGAAAAAUCUGGUGCACCUGUAACUUGUAGCACAAUAAUUCUUGGCAAAACAAAAUCAGAAUUAAAUAAUCUUGGGACAAAUUUAUAUUUCAAUAUAGUAAUUAGCACGAUCGGGAAUAAUGGAAUCAUCUGUUUGGUUUAUACCAGAUUUAAGAACAUUCUAUGGAGCAUUUCCUCUAUUACGUUCGGUGAUGUUACUGUGUCUGUUUAAUCUAUUGGAGAUAGUUGAUUUUGGCCCCAUUUGAUGUAUUGUUUUAGAGCAUGUCAUUGUAUAAUUUCAUGCGAUUUGAAUACCAUCUGAACCUGACCAUUUUGCAUCAGCAAUUGGGGCCAUUUUUUAGCACUGGAAGAGGGCAAUCAAUACGAGUCCAUGCACCAAAGGACAUGCUGGGAAUCAAAUCAACGUUUUAUGGUAUAAGAUUCAAAGGUAAAACAUUUGGGUUUUGACAUUUUUGUUGUUGAGGACUAAUAAGUAUCAAAACUCUGUAAAAAAUUUGUUGCAUCAAGCAGGCAUUUCAUGCCCGUUACAUUUUUGCUUAAAAUAUGCUCAAGAUUUGUGUAGAGCUGAACAUAGAAAAGAUUUACCUAAUAAAAUUUAUCGGUAACAUUUUUAUAAUCUAAUCUAUCCUAAUCUAGGGAAGGGAGAGCCGAUGAGAGUUGAAUCACCAUCGGAAAAAAGCCACCGAAGGCAGCCACAUAUAGUGGCAAAUUGGUGGGAGGUAAAAAUUGAACACUUGACCUUUCACACCACCAAGACUUAAUUGCUUGGUCGUGACAGCCGGUGGCCCUUUUGUGGUAAUAUAUGAGUGAUGGGAAUUGUACUUGCAACUUCUUGAGCCCGAGAACAUGAGCAAAGUGGCGAAAUUUCCUUGAGCUGAUACUUUUUGUCAUCUUCUUUAGGCUGCUGCUUCCUUCUGAUAAACCAGAAAACAAAUGUUUUUGCAGUAUCACAGCUUGCUAUAAUCUCUUCUUACACAUUUCCCUUGCAAGGAAAACAUGGCCUACAUGCGCAGAUGGACCAGAUCUUGUCGGAUAUCUAUCAUGUUUUCAAUUAAUUUUAUGAAUCGAAUCAAGGGAAUUCUAGUUAAAAACACAAAAAAAUAGCAAGAUGAAUCCAAAACACAAACAUGUUGAUGAGGAAAAUUUUUAGCCCCUUCAACAUCAGCUGCAUCCCAAUAUUUCCUUUCCUAAGUUGAAUUCACCCAGGUGGAACGUAGUUGUUACCUUAUGUGAAUAUACAUUGUAGGGCGCUGAUUGUAGAUAUUCAGGUGCUAGUAUUUGAAAGUGUUAAAGUCUAGGGGACUUAGUAAAUUAUGAAUGUGUGCAUUUAAAUCGUCAAUGAUAUACAACCAGUAUCUACUAAACACCCGUUACAAAAGUCUCAGAUGAUGGCAGUGGAGUUUGGACAAGUCAUAUAAUAUAUGGAUAACAAGUUUGGCAAAUUCAAUGAUCUUUUAAGCAAGAGUUCUUCUGCCAAACAGUUAAUGGAACAUGACUUGCCAAGCUUAACUUUUUGUUUCCUUAUCCAAUUGUCUGCGAGAGAAAGAGGAUUGGGACGUGUAUGCAUGAUUGCACUUAGCUUUAGCAUUAAAAUGGAGUAAUCUUAUAUGUCUACCAACCAUAAGGUACUGUUCAACUAAGUUAAUUGCUGUAAAUUGUAAAUUGACCUAACUUGGACAUUCUAGGAUGGUUGGAAGAACACUGGACCAAGUCAGAAAUGAAAAAAGAUCCUUGCUUAGAUUUGUAGGACAAUAGGGGCAUGGUUUCUUGUCAAACCAAAAGUAGGCACCCUAUCAUUUGACACCAAGCUGCAGCACAUCUCAUCUUGCUUUGAACUGUCUCUUUGUUCUUUCAUAUGUUUUCCCUUUUUGUCACUCUCCCCAAGGUACCACGGCCAGGGAGCAAGGAGAAGAGGAAGAAAGUUGUAGAAAGUGUUAAAGCACAGCAUAAAAAUUCAUGUGAAGAAUGAACAAGCAGAAGAAGAGUGAAGCUAAAACUUGUGAAAACUUGGCAUUGCUUUACAAUUAAUACAGAGAUGAGAAGGCUUUCUAUAGCUAUUUUGAAUUCACUAAAGCGGACGUACUCAUGAAGGCAUUAUUUAUUUGUAAAACUUUUUGAAGCCAUCUUGAGGAUGAACGACAUCAUGCAGUCAAAAGUUCCCUCACUAUGGAUUCACAUAAGCUGCCAUUGAAGGCCAGAAAAUGUCCAGCAUCAGGAACC